GUUAGGCACCUUUCGAGGUCCACAAAGGUGGUUCCCAGCCGAAUUCAUACUUUACAUGGGGAUUCUAUGUGAUCAAAUAAAGAUCUCUUGUUUUAUUGUUAAUUUAGUGUUUAGCUACGUGAUAAAGUAAUUAAUAAGCAACACAUGUGAUUUUGUUAUUUCUAAUUGUUGAUAUCUAAGUAAUAAAAUAAAUAAAAACAUGUAAUUAAGAUAAGCGAGGGAAAAGAAAUAACAUAAUUUACAAUAAAAAGGGGACUGCUUUAUAAUAAACUAGCUACCCCAAAAGUAAAGAAAAAGACUAAAAAAAAGAAAUCGUCCAAGUCAAACAAAGGAAUGUUUUUGUUUUAUUCGAAUCAGAAACCCAACUUGUUAAUAAUCAUCCGACCCAAGGGCCGAACUCUUAGAUAAAUAAUAAUGUCGUUAGCCUCGCCGUUAAUAUCUAUUGCAAUCAUCAUUUCCGAAUAACUACACUUCCCACCCACCUAGGCUGGAUGUCAAGUCUAAAAGCGUUCUAGGACAAGGAUAAAACUAGCAUCUUUUAGCAAUACUUAUUGCUCCAUCUAUCGUUCAAAAGGCAUUGGACUUUGCUAUUUUGAAUUUGUGUUCUAAACUAAAGGAAAGUUAUGUUGCCUAGGACUCGAAGCGCGAACAUAUUGAACAACAAAUAGCACGUAAUAAUCUCAAGUUAGCCUCUUGAUUAAUUAACAUUUAUUAAUGUGAUUAACAUGCAAAGGCAGUAAUUAUUUAUUAUGUUGUUAACCUAUAGACAUGAUAUCUAAAUGUUCAAUCAAGUAGUGAUAAAAGACGACUAUGACUCGUGUAUGCAACAAUGUGAUGUGCAUUCAUGAGGGGUGUCAAAAGUGUGGUAAUUGUGUCAAGAAAUAUAGUGCAAUGAUAUGAUGAAAUGCCAAACACUAAUGUUUUAACACGAAAAAAAUGUUAAUAAUGCCAGAAUUAAAGAUUAACAUGUUUAGGAUUUAAUACUAACAUGCUGAAAUUACACUUAGACAUGCUGAAAUGUUGAAAACAUUAUUAGACAUGCUGAAAGUUACGACAAACAUGCUGGAAUCUGUUUUAAUAUACAAAAAAUACUAUUAAACAUGCUGAAGUUUGUUUUAAUUAUGCAGUAAUAUGUUAUAGUGUCCCGCGGAUGUAUAAUGUGCAGAAAAAUACUCCAAUGUGCAGGAAAAUCAAUUAAACAUGCUGAAAAUAUUGUUAAACAUGCUAAAAAUUAUAUUAAACAUGUUGAAAAUUGUAUUAAACAUGCUGAAAAUUGCAUUAAACAUGCUAAAAAUUGUAUUGAACAUGCUAAAAAUUGUAUUAAACAUAUUAGAAAAUGCGAUAGGCUUAAAUAUAAUACUUAACAUGCAUAAGAUUAAUUGUUAACAUAUUCAUAGAUAGACGUGCUUAAACUCAUGAUCAUGCUAACAAUAUAUUAACUCGUUUAAACCUCUAUUGUUUAACAUGCUUACAAUACGUUAAUAUGUUAGAAAUUAACUUAACAUAUAAAUGUUCUAAAGAUGCAUUAUUAUGUUUUAGAGUCUAACAUGCCAAAGUACAUUGAUAUGCUACAUGUCAAAUUAAUACGCCCAAUAUGUUAUAGUACAUAAUGUCAAGUUAAUAUGCUUAUAUUCGUGUUAACAUGAUAGACAUAUUAAAUCGUUUAUACCUAAUGCUAAAAUCACGUUAAUAUACCGAAAUUGAAUCGAAUUCGUUAACAAACAGACUAAGCAUUGCCUAUGUUAAUAAAUUCUAAAUUUGUUGUGCCUAGAUGAUCCAUGCAACAUGUAUCACACGUAAACCUAAGUUGUGCCUACUAUACCGUUCAUAGAGCACGUAAAUUGCCGCCCCCAAAGCAGUCUCCUAAAUGUUAUAAUUACAAUAAUAAGAAUAAUAUUUUUACAAAUAAUAUUACAAACCCAAAUAAAUAAAGACAAAUCUAACUGUAGCAUAAUCCAAUUAACACAUCCCAACAAUUCUUCGAUUUCAAAACCUGUUAAACAUAACAUGACAAGCACAAAACGACAUACGAAUAUGUUGUCCUAAACAGAGGCACGAAGGAAACACAGGCACAGGAAACAAAGACAUAGUAAGCAAGCACAUCGUCAUCGUUUCAGACUAGUCCCUAUAGACAUGCUUUCUAUAUUUUGCUAUCACAACUACUGUGGAAUAAGAAAAUAAUGCAUCGAUUAGUGACUUACCGAUGAGCAGUAAACAAAAUAAGAUAAUAAGCAGGUUGUUGAAGCAAAGAGCUUGUAACAGUGAGAGAUAUUGUCUUAAACUCGAAGAGAAAAUCAAAACUUAAGAAAUCUUAUUUUUUUCGUAUAGAGAAGCAUAUGUUGUAGUCAGUAGUAGUAUAUAAGAUGUCUAGAGAGUAGGGAGUGAAUGUGAUAAGAAGUGAAGGUUUUUCUAUAUGGAGAGAGUGUAUCGGGGGUGAGAGAGGGUGAUAAGAGAUUAUACUGUAUCUGUUCUCCCCUCAAAGAAUGAGGAGGAGUUGUUUAUAUAGCCAAGUAAUGUAAAAUCAUAUCAAGAUAAAAAUAACAAAAUAAUAUUCUUGUCAACCAAUUAAGAGAAAAUUUCUCUUAACUGAAUCAAUCACAUACAAAUCAAUCCAAGGAAUAAAAGGAAAGCCAAUAUUUAGAAAAGUCAUCAACAAUAUUAUUUUUUGUAAAUUAACUAGGUGGAAUUAAUUAGAAGCCAAAUUUAUCGUAAUUAGGUAGGAAAAAGAAUGAAUAAAAUGCAUCAAUUUUUACCAUAUGUGAUAAGAUUGGAUAGAUGAUCAUGUAUAACAUUUCAUAAUCAUGGUAAUCUAAUUAUGCUCAAAAUCUGAUCACAAAAAUCAAUCUCAUAGUAUCAGUUAAAUCAAAUAUUCUUCCCUACAAACACCAAGUGUCAAAUCUGUCACGAUUAAGAUCCACCUAUGCAUCAAAUAUUUUGCCAAUGAAGAGAUCAGAAAAAUGCAACCCACAAGUAGGAAUAACAAUUUCACAAGCUAGAACAAUGAUUCCACAAGCGGACUAUGAAUAUCAAUCAACCAAUAAUUCAAAAAAUAUUGAGGGCGUAAUUAAACAUCACUAAAAUCGAAACUUUAUAUGAUGACCUAAGCAUGUUAACAAACCCAUAUUAUAAAAAAUUAUAUCAAAACUCUUAAACCAGUUUCAUCAAUUUCAGAUCGUAGAUUAUAUCUUAAGGAAAGAAAUGAAAUUUAACAACAAAUCAAAUCUUUGACGGAUUUAAGAAUCCGUCAAGUUUCGUGGACUCGACCGGAGCAGCGGUAGCAAAGGACGGCGAUGUCAUUGUUGUUGUUGUUAUUGUCGGUGGAGGAUCGGGGCGGAGGCGAACUGAUGUCUUAUGAUGGCGGAGGAGAGGUGCAGCGGAGCGUCGUUGCUAUUGUUGUUGCAGAGGUGGUGCAGCGACGUUUGGAGCUUCACCGGAGAGGCAACGUUGGCUGGUGGCUUGACGAAAACGGAAGAGGCCGACAGUGGCGUGGUUUAAGGGCUACUGGUAGUGCGUGGCUUGCUCGUAGAACGGAGGAAUCGUGAUGGCUUGACCAGCGGCGGAUGGUCGUUGUGUUGCCGGAGGAGGCGUCAAUUUUGGCUUCGGCGAUGGUCGAUUUUUUAGAAGGAGACGAGAGAGAGGGGGGUGGGGCGGCUGAUUUGGUUUAGGAGAUUAGGGAAAUGAAUUAGUUUUAGGCUUUUGUUAUUAAUAAGGAAAGAAGAGAUGGGUUGAUCUCAGCCGUUAGAUCGAUUUUGAUCCAUGACUGAGAUUAAAAGGAUAAGAAAAGAAUUGAGACCUUUUAAAUUGAGUUAAAAUGUGGCUAUAAUUGUAAUAAAUUGUAUUAUAUUAGACUAACAUUGUAAUAAAUUGUAUAAGAUUAGACUAAGAUUGUUAUAAAUUGGAUUAAAAAAGGGCUAGAAUUUAAAUAAAUUAGAAAAAAUCAAUUUAAAUUAGGCUAUUAAUUAAAUACGAUGUCAAAAAAUAAAGUAAGCAAAUUAAAUAUUACACAAUAUCAUUAUAUAAAUUUGUGAUAAUAAUAUUAAUAAUAAUAAAUAAUGCAACACUAAAAAGUAAUAAAAUAAUUUGCACAUUUUUAAAUCAUGAAUGUGACACGUCAAAAAUUAAUAAUUUGCACAUUUUUAAAUCAUGAUGCCAAAAAAUGUGUAAAAAAUACUGACAUUUAAAAUUUAAUAAUUUUGCUAAAAUAGCAGCCUGAACGUGGUAUUGGUAGGUCAAAAUUGGGUGUCAACACUAACGACAUAGCAGGAUAUUUUACUAGGCUAAAGAAACUUUGGGAUGAAUAACAAUCUCUUAAUCAUACUAUUUGUUGCACUUGUAAAUGUACAUGUCAUGAAAAAAAAAAGCUGAAAAUGUCCUUAGAAGAUCAGAAGCUAAUCAAGUUUCUAAUGGGGCUUAAUGAUGCAUAUGCAUAGGCAAGAAAAAAUAUCUUAAUGAUGAACCCCUUUACAACUAUUGAUCAUGCAUUUUCACUACUACUUCAAGAUGAGAAUCGGAGGGAAGUGUAUGUGAAUUCAACUCUUUCAACUGAAUCUGGAGCUUUCAUGGCAACAAAUCAAGGAAGAUUCAAUCAAAAAUUUGAAAAUCAAAAUAUCAAAUAAACAAUCCCAACACAAAAGUUUGGAGGAAACAAUAACCAAAGAAAUGGGAAACCCAUGCCCAAAGAAAAGCAGAGAAAAGUCAAAUAUAAUCCUAAUGUGACUUGUACUUACUGUGGUAAGGUGGGGCAUGUUGAGGAUGAUUGUUUUAGGCUUUAUGGAUUCCCAGAUGAUUUUGAAUUCACAAAAACAAAGAGUUAUCCAGGUUCUACAAAAGCAAAUGAUGUGACUACGGGAGAAGAAAUGGAAAAGAAAAAUAUUGCACAGGAGGAGACACUUACCAAUAAAUACACUUCAUUCAUGAACAUGAACAAAGACCAAUAUGCAAGCUUAGUUCAGCAAGUGGCAAAGGACAUAAAGGCAGGAACCUCAAGUGCAGGUUUUAAUCCAAAUGCUAUUGUUGGUACUAUUUUGAAAUAUCAUGGAAAAAAUUUUUUGUGUUCAAUACUAGGACAUGGAUUAUUGAUUCAGGGGCCUCAGAAAAUAUGUGUUAUGAUGCUAGGUCCUUUGUUUCUUUAAAAGUUCUUCCUGUGCCUUUAAGUUUGACCUUGUCUAAUUCUUUCAAAAUCAUUGUUACUCAUAUAGGGAGUGUUUCUAUUCUUUCAAAUUUGAUUUUGAAAAAUAUUCUUCAUGUUCCUGACUUUAAAUAUAACCUUUUAUCUGUUCAUAGGUUAUGUUGUCAAUAUAAAUGUGAUCUAUUAUUUACUCCUAGUGGUUGUGUCUUACAGGACCCUUUAAUGAAGAACACUCAAGCUUUUGGUGAAGUUAAUGAGGGAUUAUAUCUAUUACAGCCUAGUAACUCCAAGUGUCGUGAAGAUGUAGUUUCUUUUAAAAAAAGAAGUAAUUUCAACUAUAGUCCUAGUUCUGUUUCAGCUUUUCUUCCAGUUUUGGCAAAUAUUAUUCCUAAUAUUGACUUAUGGCAUGUAAGAUUGGGGCAUUUGCCUUAUUCAGCAAUGAAGAAGUUGAAUUUUACUUAUUUUGCUUCUAAUUCUCCUCUAGUUUGUGAUGUGUGUCCUAAAGCUAGGCAAACUAGGCUGUCUUUUUCUGUUAGCAAAAUUCGGUCCAAAGGGUUGUUUGAUUUAAUCCAUAUUGACACAUAGGGUCCAUAUAGGUGCUUUACUUACAAUUAUUAUAGCUAUUUUCUUACCAUUAUUGAUGAUCAUAGCAGGGUGUAAAACCCCGCAAAAUUCUUAAUCUUAAUUCAGUCCUUUAAGCUCGUCAAGGGGUCCCUUAAAGGGCUAAAUUUUUGUUGAUUCAUGAUCAGGAAGGUCAAUAGGUGUUCCCGAACAAGUUUCAGAUUUUUUGAACCUCGUUUAGACCACGUUUGGAAGUCUAAAACAGUGUACCAACGCGAUCAUGGCGCGCCUCGUCGCCUAUCGCGUUGGUCAAUAUUGUUGCAGCAAUUACCAGUCAAAAGUACUGAGGCUUGGCACAACGCAUCGAGUAUCGCGUUGAUGCCAUCGAUGCACUGCGUCGCUCAAUGCGUCGAUGCCCAGUUUUUAGUCAUUAAAUGAUUGCAUCCUUAAGGGUAAUUAUGUCAUUUUCUCCUGACCUUCAGCCCUUAUAACACGAAAUUUUGCCCUCUUUUGGCUAAAUGCAUUCAUUGUUUCUCAAUUUCACAAGAAUAAAAAAUCCUAGGUGAUUAAUUUCAAGCCAAGAAUUCAAGCCUUCCUCCAUCAAUCUUCAAGAAAUCAUCCACCAAGGUAUGUAAAGCGUUCAUCCAAGGAUGUCUUUCAUCCAUGGAGUUCAAGAAACCAUUUUUAAAACUUAAAUAAUGGUGUUCAUGUUGUGGAUUGAAAUUGUAUCCAUGUUGUUAAUUGUGUAUGGUUUCCAUGAUGGAAUCUUUAUGUAUUUCUUGAUAUUAUGUCAGCUUGUGGAUUGAAUUUCAUGAAAUUGGAUUGAUUAAUGUAUCCAUGGUGUAAUUGUUUCAUGUUCAUGCCCUAGCCUAAGUAUAUGCAUUCUAUGUGUUUGAUAAAAUGCCUAAGUGAGUAGAAUUGUGUUUUAUGAUCCUUUAUUGAUCUAAAUGGUGAACUUAGGCUAUAACUACAUGUUCAAAAUGACUCUCAUACUAAUGUUAUGCCUUUUGAUGAUUUGAUGGAGUGUUUAUGAAACUAGAUUUGUGAACUUAUGAUAUGUUGGAAUGUAUCCCUAUUUAUGUUCAACAACUAUGAGUAUCAAGUGCAUCAUGAAAUCCCUCAAUGAUUGUCUUAUGAAUUGUUGACAAUUGUUAUGGGUUCAAGAAGUGUCAUGUCCUAUUUACUUUCAUGCUAUCAAGUCCUAAGGGUAUUUAAUACCCAACAAUUUAGUUGUAUGUCUAGAGCCAGUGUCAGUUUCAUGAUAAUCUCAAUCACGCCAUGAUCAGUAGUAUUCUCAGUCAGUUUCAAAAUUUGGUAGAAUUCAAUCAGUCACAUGACUCGGGAAAACUCAGUAAUCUUAUGAACUUAGUAAGUUAAUAGAAUUCAGUAAUAUUUCGUCAGUCCAGGAACUCAGUGAACUCAGUCCAGUUUAUCUCAGUAUAAUCAGUUCAGUGUCUAUUCAGUUGGGAGUAGGAUUCAGUAUCAAGAGAACCCAAGAAUGAGGACACACACUGAUAGUAGAGGGCGUGACCCUUAGAAGCAAUCCUUGCAUUCCAGAACUAUGUAGCCAGCAUAGGUUGAGAUAUCAAAACUGACAGUUGGGGGUUGAUGAGGUGGAUUAACACUGCCAGGUGAGGGUCCCACCAUUUUCCUUUCGGGACACUGCCAGAUGAGGGUUACUCAUAGCUUAUCCUUACCAGUGGGGCGGUAUUGACACCCUUCCAAAUGGGGUUACAGGUUGGACUCCAAAUCUAUUUAGAAAAGGGGCAUGUCAGUUAGAUGACUAUCUCCCAUAGUCACAGUCUCUGUAAUAGAACUCAGAUAGUUCUACAGAUUUCAAGACUGCCAGAUACAGUCACUCAGUUCAGUAUGGAACUUAGCGAGUUCCAUUAGAAUUAGGACUGUCAGACACAGUCACUCAGUUUUCAGUUAUAUCAGUUAUCAAUAAUCCAUGUUAUCAGUAAAACUCAAUAUUCAAAAUUCUCAUGAUUUCAAUUAUAGUCUAUAUAGUCAUGCAUGUAUUCUCAUUCAGUUAUUCUCAUGAUACUCAGUCAGUUAUAGUUCAUGCACAUGAACCCUUGCAUUUAGCCUUACCUCACUUUGCAUACUAGUAUAUUCACGCGUAUUGAUACAUACUUUUCUUUUGCGCUAUGGUAUUUUAUGCCAUAGAUUCAGACGUAGAGCUCCAGAACAUCCUUAGCAGAUCAGACGUCCAGCUGACAGAUUAACAGUGAGUCCUCAUCAUCCGAGGAUGUUAUCUUAUUUUAUUUAUUCAUCACAUUCAGUUCAGUAGAUAGAGUUAGUUGGGGACAUGUCCCAUCAACUCCUUAUUCAGACAAUUUAGAGUCUUUCAGACUAUAGUAUGUUUAGACAGUUAUUUCAGUUUUGGUAUUGUUAUACCGCAUUAUCAGUUAUGUUUCAAUUUUGAACCUUAUGGCAUUUCAAUUCAUUAUUCCACAUAUUUUAGUAUUAUUAUACAGUUAUUGCAGUAGGUACCAGUCAUGGGUUAGCUAGUGGUCAUUUGGGAUUGUUAGCAUCGUGUAGCAUCCAGGGUACCAGACUCGGGGCGUUACACAGGGCAACCUAGACUUUUCUGGUAAGUUCUAAGAGUAAUGCCUUUCCUACUCUGAAGAAUUUUUUAGUUAUAAUUGAGAGACAGUUUAAUCUCAAAGUAAAGAAUAUCAGAUCCGAUAAUGCUUUUGAAUUGGGAAAAGGGACCCAAGAGAGAUUAUUUCUGCAGUCAUAGGACAUUAUCCAUCAAACUUCAUGUCCAACCACUCCACAACAAAAUGAAGUGGUAGAGAUGAAGCACAGACACCUCUUAGAGACUGAUAGAGGACUGAUGUUUCAAUCUAAAUUGCCAGUCUUCUAUUGGGGUGAGUCUAUUCUUUCAGCAACAAAUUUAAUAAAUAGGUUUCCCUCUAGUGUUCUUUAAGGGAAGACACCCUAUCAAGUUCUUUUUGGGAAUGAACCUAAUUAUGAAGCACUCAGAAGCUUUGGUUGCUUAUGCUACUCCAACACUUUGUCUCAACACAGGACAAAGUUUGAUUCAAGAGCAACAACUUGUGUCUUUCUUGGAUAUCCACAAGGACAGAAGGGAUACAAAGUUUUGGACAUUGAAUCCAACAAAGUUUUUAUCUCUAGAGAUGUCCGUUUUCAUGAAUAAUAUAUUCCCUUUUGCUUCCAAACAACCCCUUCACAGAAAUUCCAUUUUUCACACAGAUUUCACCACCAUUCCCAUAAAUCAAGAUGAUCAUGCAUAUGCAGAACCUAGUAUACACAGGUCCCAGCCUUUCCAACAUCCUACACCUAUAUCACCCAUUACAGAACCUAAUUCACCUCAUUUUUCCAUUCCACCCAACACACCUCCUUCACCUAAUUCUAAUACUUUACCAACCACUCCAACAAGGAAAUCAAUGAGAGUGACUCAAAAACCUGCAUACCUUGCAGAUUACAUUUGUAAUUCUGUGAUUUUAACUAAUGUCGCUAAUUCCUGAUUCAUCCAUCCUACUAAAGCAACAUCCUAUUGUUUUAGUUCUUUGUCUCUUUCUAAUCAACAGGUUUUUCACUCUAUUUCGAACAUUAUUGAACCCAACAGUUAUGCACAGGCUUCUCAACAUGAAGGGUGGAUUGAUGCUAUGAAAUAGAAGAUUGCAACUUUGGAGGUAAAUCACACUUAGGAUGUAGUUCAACUCCCUCCAGGAAGAAAAUUUUACCCUGUAAAUGGGUGUACAAGGUAAAGCACAGAUUAGAUGAAACCAUUGAAAGGCUAAAGGCAAGACUAGUAGUGAGGGGGGCAUUCAAUAAGAGGUUGUGAAUUAUACUAAAAUAUUUUCUCCGAUGGUCAAGAUGACCACCAUCAGAUGUUUACUUACUAUUGUAGUAAAAAGAGGUUAGAAGGUCAAUCAAUUGGAUGUUUCUAAUGCCUUUUUACAUGGAGACCUGCAGGAAUGGAGUGUCCUAGUCCUAAAUCGGUUUAUCUUUUGAAGAAAUCUCUUUAUGGGUUAAAAUAGGCAUCUAGACAGUGGUAUGCUAGAUUAGCUAGGGCACUAACUUACAAAAGUUACACUAGCUCUCUAAAUGACUAUUCUUUGUUUUACAAAAGGUCAGGUGAGUUGAUUUCUAUUAUAGCAGUAUAUGUGGAUGACAUUUUGAUUAGAGGGGAUGAUGUUGAUGAAAUUCAACAAAUUCAAGCAUUCCUUCACAAAUAGUUCAAAGUUAAGAAUUUGGGGGAAAUCAACUAUUUUUAAGGAAUGAAAAUCCUACGAGAGAAGCAUGAUUUCAUAAUCAGUCAAAGAAAAUUUACCUUAGACCUUCUUCAUGAGUUUGAUUAUUCUGGACCUCAGGUAUCUUCACCUCUUGACCCAUACACCAAGUUGACUGCGGAAGAUGGACAACCCUUGUCUAAUCCUUCUUUUUAUCAUCACCUAGUUGAAAAAUUAAAUUACUCAACCCACACUAGGCCAGACCUUUCUUUUGUUGUGCUGAGCUUAAGUCAGUACAUGCAACAGCCCAGAGAUUCCCACUUUUCGGCUGCUCUUCGAGUCUUGAGAUACCUCAGAACAGACCCGGGUCAAGGAAUCCUUUUACCCUCAGAUGCCUCUUUUGAUAUCCUUGCCUUUUGUGAUGCAGAUUGGGCCUCCUGUCGAGAUUCCCGGAGAUCCGUUAGUGGUUUUUUCAUUUCUCUUGGUGAUGCUCCAAUUUCAUGGAAAUCUAAGAAGCAAGCAUUCGUCUCUUUAUCUUCUGCAGAAGUCGAAUACAGGUCAAUGCGUAGAGUGACUGCUGAAAUCACUUGGUUGGUGCGUCUUCUUGAUGAUCUAUCUGCAGCACCGACGUUACCCAUACCAGUGCACUCCGACAGUCAAGCAUCCAUAAACAUCGCCAAGAAUCCCGUCUUUCACGAAAGGGCAAAACAUGUGGAACUGGAUUGUCAUUUCGAGGCACAAUUCAUGUCUGGUUUGAUUACUCUCUCUUUCAUCCCAUCAGAUCAUCUGAUUGCCGAUCCAUUCACUAAACCUGUAUCCAGUGGAUCGCAUCGGACUUUGUUGAACAAAUUGAGGGUUGCUCCUUCACCCUCCAAUUUGAGGGGAUAUUGGACAAGAUACAAGUGUUUAGAUAUUUUUUUUUGUUGUUUUAUUAUUUAGCUUCUUGCACAAGAUACAUGUGUUUAUUAUUAUUUAGCUUCUUGCACAAGAUAUAUAUAUAUAUAUAUAUAUAUAUAUACAUUGGUUCACAUAGAAUAAGAUCAUCAGAAAAUUUCCCCAAUAUUUUGCUUCAAUUCUUUCAAUUACUGGUAGCAAAGUGCCUUAGUUGUGACAAGGCGAUUGGCGCUGACUAAAGUAGAAACAACCUCUUUCAUUCGAGUCUUUACACAAAUUACUAGUAUCUUUAUGUUUACUUACCACUUUUACUAAAACAUAACUACUCCAGAACAUGUUAAAAACAAACAAUUUUUAAAGAUCUUAAUUAGUGUAUUAUUUUUAGAGUUUAUGGCUUUAUGCAGUUCUAAUCCUGAUACAUAAUUGGAGAAACUGGACAAAGAAGUUGCACUAAAGGCCCAAAAAAUAAGGAAAGCAGUCUGCAGUUCCACAAAAAGCCCAAAACUAUAAAAACUAAAUACUCGAAAAGAAACUUAGUAGCCGUUUGACAAUAAGGACCAAGAAAAACUCACUUUAUUUUUGAUGUUUUGACUUCUCCUUUGAAAUUUUUAUGGCUGAACUAAAUAAAGUCAUAUAAUUUUUUGAAAAAUUCUUAUGCCCAAACGGGGCUUGUAAAGUAGUUGCUCCAAAAAAAAAAAGUGAACCUUAGUAAAGCAGCCAAGGUUAAUGACAAUUGACAUGGUCUGCUCACAUUUUUUUCCAUUGAUUGAUUGGUUUUCGUUUUUCAGUUCUAUUACACUAACUAGUUAGCAAGUUAAAAAGGGGUAUCAGAAUAUUUAUUAUUAACUUUAGACAAAGAAUUGUGGAGGUGAAUAUUUCCUCAUGUGUUGGAUAUGAUCUAUUAAUAUUAAUAGAUUUUCAUUUUAGUGGUUGAAAAGAGCUGUAAGAGAUGCUCGGAAUCUCAAGUUUAUUUAGGGUUCUCUAUAAUUGGUGGAGAUUCCAUAUUAAGCAAGCUAAGUGCCUUUCAUCUAUGAAAGCAGAUUUAUCAUAAAUGAUUGAAUUUGGUUACAUGACUGAUGACUCUCAUUGCUAAAAUUAUUAGGCUAACAAAAAAAAAUUUACGGAAAGAAAGUUAAUUACUUGAAUAAAAUGGAUCAAGAAAUAGAGGCGGGUUCAGUACUUUUACAUUAUGAAUUUAGUUUUACAGAUUUUAAGCAUUGAACCAGUUAUAUUCUUAAAGUUAAGAGUUCAGAUUUAUUAUUUGUUACAAGAUUUUUAACGAAUAGAAUUAUAUCCUUAGUCAAAAGUACCGGAUUUAAAUGAACUCAUUAUCUUUGAAUUGCAUUCUUCCUUAACAAGAAAUAAAAAAAGAUGAGUACUACUCAUUCUUUUCGUGAUCUAAAAAAAUUAAUCUUUGCUCUAACUCAACUUCAAAAAUUACUAAGACUCUUAACACAUGAUGCUUUUUUCUUUUAAAGAUUCAAAAGAUAUAUAUAUAAAGUAAAAAGAUGAAUAUAUUGAAAAAAUUCUAAAAAUAGGAGUUUAACCAAAUUUAUAGAUCCUUAAAACACGUUUGCCAACAAAUGAAACCAGGAUAGUGUAUAUAUAAACCCAUUUGCAGUAUGAGAACAUCCAAAGAAUAUCUACAUAUAUUUUUUUUUCAAAUGUGGAUUGUACCAGCUAAAAUCAGACAUAUAUCAUAUGCUACAAUUAGAACAAGUGACUUAAUAUAUGUGUAUAACACACACAUGUGUGUAGCAUAUAUAUAUAUAUAUAUGUGCGCGCUAAAUCUGGGCCCGAACUCAAGUAAUUUAAUAUUUUAUAUAAUAAUACGAUUAAAUAUAUAAAAUAAUUAUAACUCAUAAAGAUCAUAAGUUGAAAAACAUUUUAAUUUUUAUAAGUGUAUGAACAUAUUUUCUAUAGCUAAAAAUUGAAAUAAAUUUCUUCAGAUUUUUAUUAAUUAAAUCUUAAUUUUAUUCCUAAUUUCACGUGGCAAGAACGUAAGUUAGUUGAUAUGACAAUUUAAGCUUAGUUUUACUUUGAAUUAAGAAAAAUAAAACUAAAUUCAUUAAAAUAAACCUCGAGAAUCUAGUAGUUCUUUAUAUUUAGUUCAUGCCUAAGAAUAUUAAUUCUCAAUUAAUCAAAAAAAUAAUAAGAAUAAUUUGAUCUUAACUGAUACCACUACCUUCAUUUUUGACUAAUUUAUCAAUAAUUUCAACUUUUAAUAUUUGAAAUAUUUUAUUGAUAAUUUCAAAAGCAAGAUCAAAUUUUUCAUAAUUUUUUUUUAUUCAAUUCAUAAAAAGUAAUUAGGAAAUAUCGAGAAUCAUACUCAGUUCAUUCGAUUAGCUAAACAACAGAAAAAUCUAAAUAAUUCAGUUGAUUGUCCUCUUGAAAUCUCACUUUAUUAGUGAAGGUUCGAUUUUCCACUUUGUAAUUUUCUUCCUAUUUUCUAUUUAAGAAAAAAAAUUAGUUAAACAAUUAAAAAUUCAGGAAAAAACUCAAUAUUGAUUUCUCAUAUUAUGACAUACCACCUACAAAGUACCAUUUGACAAACAAAGAAAUAAAGUAAUUUUAUCUAUAUCAAUUACAUGUCAUAAUUUUAGUCGAUUAACAAAUUAAUUAAAAUUACUAAAGUAGCCUUGUGAGGACUACCAAAAUUUAUUAUUGUCUUUUAUAUAUAAUAGUAAUGUUAUACACACAUAUACAUUAAGUCACUUGUACUAAUUGUAGCGGGAUUGGUGAACUACUUAUAUACAUAUGCAGCUGGAUGAACCACUAAUCUAUCGUUAUUCUUUGUGGAUAUAUUAUUGCUAUACUAAUAACCAUAUUAAUUAACAGUCUGCGGUCAACAGAAGUAGAUUUAGUGUUUCUGGUUAAAGUGGACUUUGUUGUUAUAAUUAUCUCAACAAUCAUGUUUUAGCACAAAGGAAAUUACUCCCUUCGUCCCAUUUUACCCGUUCCAAAUUGGGAUGAUACAAUUAUUAAGAAAAACAAUAAAUAAUAUGGCUAGUUUACCAUAGUACCCUUAUUAAAUGAUGUUUACAUCUUAAUUUAUAGAAAAAGUAAUUAAUGCAAAAGGUAAAACAUGAAAAAAAAAAUUGUCUUGUCUUGAUAAGUAAAAAAGAACAAGUAAAAUGGAACACCAAAUUAGAAAAUUUAAGACGGAUAAAAUGGGAUGGAGAAAGUAUAAACAGGAGAAAAGAAAAAGAGUAACAAGUGUCCCAAAUGCAAAGUGUACUUUUUUUUUUUUUUUUUUAAUUUCGAGGCUGUUGUCAUUUGAUAUUCUUGUAAACAGAAAACCAACAUGCCGUUUUGAGUAGCUCAAAAGUUUUGUAACUUCAAAAGGUGGAAAAUAAAUUAAAUAAAGAAGAUGAAAAGCAAAAUACUAGUCCUUGUUAUAAAAAAUUAGAAGUAUUCUUGAAGACUAUGAUUAUUAUGCCUUUAUUAACUUUUCAAGAAAUGAAAGGUUGCUAGCUUAUAGGCCUCCAAUAAAUCAAAGUACUAAUAUUACUUUACGAUGAUCGACUAAUAUCCCUAAUUGCCUAUUAAUCUAGCAAGUUUCCUUCAGUAGUGUGCUCCAAAUGAAUUCUAGUUGAUGCUCAAACUUCAAAUUGGUAAUACUAGUAGUCCAUUGAUGCCAAAUUAAAGAAUAUCGCCCCUUGCAAAUAAAGCACAGAGACAUUUACUCAACAAAUGACAUGAAUUAUAAGUAGUAUUAAGAUAGGAGAUUUGGUUUUGUAGUCCUUAAUAAACAUGUAUUUAGUUUCAUGUCUUUAUACAAGAGGUUUUAAUUUUUUCACAUAAUAAAUCUAAAACAACUAUCUUCUUUUAUUCAAUUAAAAAAUCAUGUUUUAUCCUUUGCAUUAAUUACUUCUUCUUCAAAUUAAAAUAUAAACAUCAUUUAAUAUGGAUACUAUAGUAAACUAGUCACGUUAUAAUUAAUUAUUUUUCUUAAUCAACGCACCAAGUUAAUUUGGGCCACGUAAAAUGGGACGGAGGGAGUACAAGAUAAAACCGCAUUACAAUAGACCGGUUGUGUGCUCCAAUUUUUCUCUAACGAGAACUUUAGUGCACCAAGCUGUCCGAUUUAUAAGAUCACAAGAGAUCAUUUCCUCUACUAUAUGAGUCUAUGACUGUCAUUUCUUCUAGCGAUAAUGCACGACACUUUUGAUCUAUUUAUUAUUAAUAAAUUCUAAAUAUAUUUAACCUUUAGUUUAAAUUUUUAUAAUAGACCUCAAGGAUAAGUGGAUAACUAAACAAUAGCAUGAGGGAGAGUUACCUCCAACCCACUCCACUGCCCAUAGAAUCAAAUAAAUAUUAAUUAGAGAAAUAGUAUUACGUGCUUGACAUAAAUAACCAACCUAGCUAGUUAGUUACUUCAUUAAUUUGUUACGCUAAGAAUCUGCCAUCAGCAAAUUUUGCUGACUUUCGGCUGCCCUUUUUUACAACUCGUUGCUUUAUUUUGCCUUCUUUUCUUUCUAUUCCUUUACUCUUUCUCCUCUCUUUUAUAAGUCACUUGUUGUUCACCGAUUUCAGGGAAGCAAAUGAAAAUAUAAUUUAUUACACAAUCAGGGCGGAUCCAGAAUUUAGGAAUUGUUGGUAUUUAGAAAGUUCAAACACAUAUAUUGACGUUCAAACACAUAUAUUGACAUUCAAAGCUUUAAGGUUCCGCAUGAAAAUCAAAGCAACUGGCUUUGAUGAGUGUUUUUUUUCUAUCUUAUACCAAAUUUUAUGCACUUCUUAAUUAUGUAAUUAUAUCUAUUUUGCGUCGUAUUUAAUGAGUGCCGAAACACUAAUAUUUUCAACCUAGGUCCGUCCAUAUACACAACUGACACUAAUAAUGUGAGACAGUUUUUUUUUUUUUGGUUUCCCAAGGUAUCCCUAGCCCGAUAGGUCAAGGACUAAUCCUCCACGGAUCUGAGCUCCAUUUAAGGGUUUGCCGCUGGCCAAUUGGUUGCUGCAUGCACAAGACGGGAAUCGAACCCCGACACUUGCUUAAGCGACCUAGUGAGCUAACCACUAGGCCAACCAAGCUUGGUUAAUAAUGUGAGACAGUUUAUUGCUUCACAAAAAGGUGUAAUAGCAGAAAAUCUGGUAUAAAAAAGACAAAACUUUGUAAAGAGUUACAAAAUCAAUUGAACUCAUUCUUUCUUGUGCUUAUAUCAUUACUAUUUUAAUUAAAAAUUAAAGAAUUUCUGUAAUGGGCAUAUCAGAACGAGAUCCAGAAAAAAAAAAAAUGGGAAUUGAGCUCAAAUACAGCAUAAAAAGGCUAAGUUUUUCCUACACCACUUAUGUCAACUAACCUGACUCCUAACUGAUUAGAGUGAGAAACUAUGGAAAGUUAUAGUCAUUAACUACACUACUAGACAUUUAUGAAUAAUUAUGAUGGCAAAAUUUUCAAAAUAUACGGCCAACAUAGCAUAAUUCAUUAUACAAUAUUAUAUAGUAGUAUUAUACAACAUUGUAACUGGGAGAAAUUAAUGUUUUAUUCAUAAUGUAUCAGCCUCGGGUGAAAAUAUACAAUAGUAAUACUAUAUAAAAGAUAUUUAUAUACAAAUAUGAACUAAACCGGGUGUUUGUGCGAUUGUUUCUUAAAUAAAUUAACUCCGGAAAGUGACAUUAACUUUAUAAUAUUAUGAUACUCAACAACAACAACAACGAACCCAGUGAAUUCCCACAAAGUGGGGUCUGGGGAGGGUAAGAUGUACGCAAUCCAUACCGCUACCUCUGAAGAAGUAGAGAGGCUGUUUUCGAGACCCCCGGCUCAAGAUUAAGAAUAGUAAACAAGUGAAUGGAUGACAUAAUAAAAUUAGGAAUAAGAAAUAGUAAAAUAGAAAUCAGAGAAAUACGAAAUACGUGAAAUAAGGGCGACACGAAAUAAGAAAAUAGAAACUACGGCAUAAGCCAUAGGACACCCGCCUAAUCGUACCAUACACUCACAAACCAAGGACACCUAUGUAUAGGCCUAGGAUUACUAACCCGGCUACACAAAUACUCCCCUAACUGCAAGCUACAACCCACACACUCCCAUUAGUCUUCUACCCUUAUCCGCAACCUCCAUACCUUCCUAUCUAGGGUCAUGUCUUCAGUCAGCUGGAGCUGCUCCAUGUCAUAUCUAAUCACCUCCCUCCAGUAUUUCUUCGACCUACCUCUACUCCUCCUGAAUCCAUCCAGAACUAGCCUCUUACACUUCAAGACUGGAGCAUCCGCGCCCCUCCUCCUCACAUGCCCGAACCAUCUGUUGGGAAUGAUGUAGUUUUGAUGAUUGACAAUCUGACAACGUGAUAUGAAACAUGUCGGCCAACCUGGUUCAUAGACACACUGUCUCAUGUAGCUGAAACUUGUAGCAAAAUCAUCGAUGAUUAAAAACAAGGGUGGAAGAAAUCAAGAACCAGAUGAGUGGUUAAUUCUGAUAAACUCAAGGAAAUAAAUAUGUGCAAAUUUGAAGAAGUUGAAUUUGAUUCAAACACUUGAUGAUAAGGGAAAACAAGUUGAGUUGAAAAAGGAGUCCUAUGGAAAGAAGGAGUUUCACUUCUGAGCAUAUCCUGAAGAGUUCUAUAUGUAGAAGGAGAAAGAUUCUGCAGAUUGAAAACGUCUACACAAGAUAGGAAACAUAUAAAUUGAAGGACUCUUUGUUAGAUCAAUGAAGUUUUUUAUGACCAACACAUAAAUGGACCAUGUUACUUGACCUGUUCCAAGCAUAGGAAGACAGGUUUCAGGUUUUACUGAUAGAUGCAGACAAAGAUUGCUGAAAGUCAAGAACGAAUGAGCAAGCCUAAUUAUGACAUACUCAAGCUAUUGAUCACGUGAGAAAUUGAAGAAGUUGUGGUUGAGUAAAAUACUUCAAGAUAAGUUGAUUUAAAGAGUUGAAGUUUGACUACAACACCAAGGAGACAAGAGUUGGAAUUGAAGAAGGAGUCUCACUUGAAGUAGAACUCUAUGUAAUGAGAGUUCUGAUUAAAUGAGGAGUUUGAAAUAAAGAAUAACUCUUUGGAGAGCUGUGUUUAAAUAGAAAAUGCAUCANNNNNNNNNNNNNNNNNNNNNNNNNNNNNNNNNNNNNNNNNNNNNNNNNNNNNNNNNNNNNNNNNNNNNNNNNNNNNNNNNNNNNNNNNNNNNNNNNNNNNNNNNNNNNNNNNNNNNNNNNNNNNNNNNNNNNNNNNNNNNNNNNNNNNNNNNNNNNNNNNNNNNNNNNNNNUUGAUUUUUAGAGUUGUUCAUUGUGUUUGAACUAUUGAUGUAAUAUUAGUUUAAGUGUGUUAUAAAUUGAACUAGGAGCUAGUCUUCGAGUUGGGAAAAACUCAGAGACUUUGGGAACGCAUACCUUGGGAGGUGUGUGUUUAGUUAGGAAUUAGAGUUUAUAAUUCCUAGUUGUUGAGUUAUAUGGAUUAGAGUUUAUAAUUCCUAUUUGUUGGUUACAAGAGUUUUGUAAUCAGUCGUUGUUGAGGCUCAGAGUUAUUUAGUGAAGUUGGGGUUAAAUCCUGUAGAGGUACAGGUCGUAUUUUUUUACACCUUUUUGAGCCGGGUGUUUCCACGUAAAAAUCAUUGUGUUCUUUAUUUUCUAUUUUACUGCUUCCUUGGAACACGUCAGGCAACCCGUUUCAUUGAUAAGCAACAGUUAGGCAAAAAUAAGAUAAUCAGUAGGGUACGAAUUCUUAACAAGUGGUAUCAAAGCGAGGUUGUCUUAAAAAGGGCUAGCACCUAAGACAAAGAUUAAUAUGAUGAAUUCCGCAUCACCUAUUGGUCACAGUGAAGUUCAAUCCACUAUUAGAACUCCACUCUUUGAUACUUCUCACUUCAUUUGGUAGAAAUCUAGGAUGGAAACAUUCAUUCAAGGAGAAGACUACGAGUUAUGGGAUAGGAUCAUUGAUGGUCCUACUAUUCCAAUGAAAUUAGAAGAUGGUGAACAGGUCAAGAAGGUAAAAAGUGAGUUUACCGCUGAUGACUUAGUGGCAUUAAAGAAAAAUGCUAAGGCUAAGAACAUCUUAGUCUGUGGACUAGGACCGGCUGAAUACAACAGAGUGUCAACCUGUGCCACUACUAAGCAAAUCUGGGAUGCACUGGUCAAUGCACAUGAGGGUACCUCUCAGUUAAGCAAAUUCAGGAUUGCUCUUCUUUUUACUAAAUACGAAACUUUUAAGAUGAAGAAGAAUGAAACUUUGCAUGAAAUGAUGACAAGGCUUACUGCUUUGACAAAUAAGUUGACUUCUUUGGGAAAAGUCAUCACUGUUGAAGACCAAGUUAAAAAGGCGUUGAGGGUGCUACCAAAAUCAAAAUGGAAUGUUAAAGUGACUGUUAUUAGGGAUCCAAAUAAGGAUCUCAUAGGCAUGACACUAGAUGAACUAGUAGGGAAUCUGAGAACUUAUGAAAUGGAAAUUGAUGAAACUAAAGAGCUAGCAACCCUUGAGGAUACCUUAGCUCUGAAGGCAUCUAACAGUGAUGAAGAAAUUGAACUUGAUGAAAAACAAGUUGUCUUUAUAGCUAAGAACUUCAAAAAAUUCUUCAAAAAGAAGAAGGGAACAAGUAGCAAGAAAUGAUCCAAUGACAAUCCAAAUGGAUGCUAUAAGUAUGGUAAGACUGAUCAUCAGAUCAGGGAUUGUCCUAUCUGGGGAAAUAGAAUGGAGAAAGAAAAAGGCUGAAAAGGAAUUGAAAGAAAAAAAUAAAAAGAGGGAAGAAUAGGCAAUGGUAGCAGCAUGGGAUCUGACUCAGAUGAUGGUGAAGUUGAUGAAACAACACUCACGGAUCUUGGAGAUUCAGACUUGGAGGAAGAAGAUGAUACUUCUGAGGUAGUAUACUUGAACUUAAAGAAAAGUUGCAUUUAUUUUCUAAAACAAAACUUAUUUCCUUAAUGAGUGCUCUAAUUGAUGAUUUCCAAGAAUUAACUUCUGAUAGGGAUGAGUUAUUCAACAAUCUUGCAAGUCUCAAGUUUGAUUUUAUUGAUCUAGAAACUUGUAAGAACACUGUUGAAAAGGAAAACUGCACUCUUAAGGAACAGGUUAGCAGACUUGAUUCAUCAAACCUGACCUUCAAAUCUGAAAUCUUGAAACUGACUCUUUCUGAAAAAGGUUAAAAGUGAGGAACAAGAAAAAAUUGAGUCAGAAUUGAUGAAGAUUAAACAUGAAUACUUUUGUGAAAGAAAAAAGUUAGUCAAUUGAGUCAAGAAGUUUCUAAAUUGAAACUUGAUCUUAAAAGAGCUAAUAGAUGGACACAUUCUUCAAGAAUUGUUAAUAAAUUAGGUCAAAGAAAUCACAAUGAAAUGGCUGGGUUGGGCUUUUAUAAAAGUUUCAAUGCUAUUAAAGAUCUGUGUUAUAUUUGUGGUAACUAGGGGCAUCCAACCACUGAAUGUCCAGUUGCAGUAAAAAGCAAAUCAAGAAGCAUAAGCCUAGCAAAAAAAUUUGAUUCCAUGUUAGCAAAAGCUAACAAGAAGGUCAAUCUGGUCAGAGAAACAGGUCACAUAACCUGUUGCCUCAAUGGGCUAGAAGGAACCUCAUACAUGUUUUUUCUCAUAAGAAAGGACCCAAGCUUGUCUGGGUGCCUAAAGUUAACCCCUAAUUUAUUUUGCAGGUGAGAUUGAAAGGAGAAAAGCAAAAUUUGUACAUGGAUAAAGCUUGCUCAAGGAAUAAGACUAGAAGAAAAUAAAGUUUCUUUCACUCACCACAUUUAAAGGGGGAAUAAAUCAUUUGAAAGAUGGUCAGAUUUGUAGUGCUCGUGUAAGGGGGAAGCAAGGGAGAUUUUAAAAAAAUGAAAAAAGAGGAUGACUAUGAAAUUGAUGAGCAUGCAUAGGAACAUAUUGUACCACCUGUUUCAACUAUUGUGCAGACUAAGGGCAUAUUAAGAGGGGGAACAACAAAUCAAUAAAUUGAGGCAUCAAUAACACCAACACAAGCUGAUGAUAAUUUUGUUGGUAAUUCAUAAGAAUUGGUGUUGUCACAAGAAUCUUGAGAUAUCUCACGGGAAUCAAUGGCUUGAGAAUAUGGUAUUUAAAUGAAAGUAAUUUCACUCUUGAGGGCUAUAAAAAUAUUGACUAUGUGGGUUACUUAAUUGACUGGAGAAGCACCAAAGGUACUAAGUAGAGGGCAUUUUGAAAGGAAUAGGUUUGACUUGGGGAUGAUUAAAAUUUCAUGAACUCCUUUUAAUGAUUGACUAGAAAAAUCAUUUCUCUUCUUAAUCUUAUUAGCUAAAAAAUUAUUCUAUUUAGUCUUGCACAUUUAGUUGUGUGUCCCAAUUCCAGAUUUUUGACCUUUCUAACCUAAUUUUGUGUUAGAUUGUGCAGAAAAAUAGGUACAAGCAAGUAAUUGUGACCACAAAGUUCUUCUUAUCAGGUAUGUUCUACACUGACAUAAGCAUAGGCUGUCUAAGUUGAAACAGUUGAGCACACCUGUUCAAUUCCACAUACUUCAUUCUCUCAUUGUCUAAUAAAGCUACUGAAUUGGUUGACCAAACUUUUUUUUAUUCUCUCCAAAUGGGUGUGCACAAAUGUGUUAAUCCUACACCAGAAAAUCUUUUUUCUUUCUCAAUCAAAAUAUCAGUUGUGUACCAUGGAUUUGCCCAGCUUGAUCAUCAAUCACAUGCAACAUAUGUUUUUGAAGAAUGAAAAGGGACAUUCUUUCCCUUUUAGUUCCUAAUUGGUUAUUUUUGGGGACUUCUCAGUCCUAGUUCGGGUUUGACUAGAUGUUCUUGAACAAAUGAAUCAUGUUGCUCUACCUGUUUCAAUAAGGAGGGCUAACACUCAUAUAAAAAAAAUUUAAAAAAAAUCUGAGCUAGAAGCUGCACAAGACAGUCAUGAAGUGGAAUAAGAGGUCCUUAAGGCUAGGAUCAUGAUUUUGAAACUUGACCUUGAUUGAUAGAGGGAUGAAAAUAUUGAAGUCAUUCGUCAAUUGACAUAGUUGAUAUCACCUGUUCCACCUUGCUCAUCAGCUCUUCACUCUUUGUAUCUUUAGCCAUGUCCCACUUUUAUACCAUAUUUUUUUAAUGCUCAAUUGUUUUGCUUUGUUCAGUACUAGCUUAGGUUUAAUGUGGAACAUGCUCUGGUAGUUUAAUGGAAUGGUUAUCUUUGCUUAAUUGACUCAUAUUUUUGCUCUCUUUAAUAAAUUACUAUGUUGGCUAAAGUCUUUGUCUGAUUGUUUUGUUGAUAGCCCCAGUGGCCAUGAAUAGCAUAACAAAGCACUUUGGAUGGAAUAUUAUUGCAUUGAAAUAAUUUUCGAUGAUGCCAAAAGGGGAAAGAUAAGAGGGUUGUGCAAUGUUUAUAACCCAUUGACUAACUUAUUUCAUUCUAGUGUUUUAUACUCUAGUGCCUACAAGUAAAGAUGUUUGAAUGCACAAAGACAAGAGGUUUGUCAUCAUAAAAAAGGAGGAAUUUGUUGGGAACGAUGUAGAUUUGAUGAUUGACAAUCUGACAACGUGAUAUGAAACAUGUCAGUCAACUUAGUUCACAGACGCACUGUCUCAUGUAGCUGAAACUUGUAGCAAAAUCAUCGAUGAUUAAAGACAAGGGUGGAAGAAAUCAAGAACCAGAUGAGUGGUUAAUUUCGAUAAACUCAAGAAAAUAAAUAUGUGCAAAUUUGAAGAAGUUGAAUUUGAUUCAAAUACUUGAUGAUAAGGGAAAACAAGUUGAGUUGAAAAAGGAGUCCUAUGGAAAGAAGGAGUUUCACUUCUGAGCAUAUCCUGAAGAGUUCUAUAUGUAGAAGGAGAAAGAUUCUGCAGAUUGAAAACGUCUACACAAGAUAGGAAACAUAUAAAUUGAAGGACUCUUUGUUAGAUCAAUGAAGUUUUUUAUGACCAACACAUAAAUGGACCAUGUUACUUGACCUGUUCCAAGCAUAGGAAGACAGGUUUCAGGUUUUACUGAUAGAUGCAGACAAAGAUUGUUGAAAGUCAAGAACGAAUGAGCAAGCCUAAUUCUGAUAUACUCAAGCUACUGAUCACGUGAGAAAUUGAAGAAGUUGUGGUUGAGUAAAAUACUUGAAGAUAAGUUGAUUUAAAGAGAUGAAGUUUGACUACAACACCAAGGAGACAAGAGUUGGAAUUGAAGAAGGAGUCUCACUUGAAGUAGAACUCUAUGUAAUGAGAGUUCUGAUUAAAUGGGGAGUUUAGAAUAAAGAAUAACUCUUUGGAGAGCUGUGUUUAAAUAGAAGAUGCAUCAUUUAGAGUAACUCACGCACUUACAAAGUAGAAAAGUACAAUCGACAGAUUGACUUCACAAAGUGCUAAUCAAUCACUGAUGAAACACAUUGAAGAACCUGGUUCUAAGUAUAGAAUCCAGCUAAGAGUUUUAGCGUUGAUUUUUAAAGUUGUUCAUUGUGUUUGAACUAUUGAUGUAAUAUUAGUUUCAGUGUGUUAUAAACUGAAUUAGGAGCUAGUCUUUGAGUUGGGAAAAACUCAAAGACUUUGGGAAUGCAUACCUUGAGAGGUGUGUGUGUAGUUAGGAAUUAGAGUUUAUAAUUCUUAGUUGUUGAGUCAAAGGAAUUAGAGUUUAUAAUUCCUAGUUGUUGAGUUAUAUGGAUUAGAGUUUAUAAUUCCUAUUUGUUGGUUACAAGAGUUUUGUAAUCAGUCGUUGUUGAGGCUCAGAGUUAUUUAGUGAAGUUGGGGUUAAAUCCUCUAGAGGUACAGGUCGUGGUUAUUUAUACCUUUUUGAGCCGGGUGUUUUUCAUGUAAAAAUUAUUGUGUUCUUUAUUUUCUGUUUUACUGCUUCCUUGGAACACGUCAGCCAACCCGUUCCAUCGAUAAGCAACAGUUAGACGAAAAUAAGAUAAUCAGUAGGGCACAAAUUCUUAACACCAUCUCAGUCUUCCUUCCCGCAUCUUGUCAUCUACCGAAGCUACCCCCACCUUCUCCCGGAUAGUCUCAUUCCUAACUCUGUCCCCUCUAGUAAGCCCACACAUCCAACGCAACAUUCUCAUUUCCACUACCUUCAAUUUUUGAAUGUGAGAGUGCUUGACUGGCCAACACUCCGCUCCAUACAACAUGGCCGGCCGGACUGCCACUCCAUAGAAUCUGCCUUUAAGCUUAAGGGACACCUUCUUAUCACACAACACUUCCGAGGCGAGCCUCCACUUCAUCUAACCUGCUCCAAUACGGUUAGAGAUAUCCUCAUCUAUUUCACCAUUCUCCUGAAUCGUAGACCCAAGAUACUUAAAACUGUCCGUCUUACAGACAUCUUGGGAGUCCAACCUCACCACCACUUCGUCGUCCUGCCUCAAGUGAACAAACUUGCAUUCCAAAUUCUCCGACUUGGACCUACUCAACCUGAACUCCUUAGACUCAAGGAUUUGCCUCCAAACCUCCAAUUUGUCAUUCACACCCCUCCGCGACUCAUCAAUUAGCACUACAUCAUCCGCAAAUAAUAUACACCAAGGCACCUCAUCUUGAAUGCUCCGCGUCAACACGUCCAUCACCAAUGCAUAUAAGAACGGACUAAGAGUCGAUUCCUGGUGCAACCCUGUCUCAACCGAAAAAUGCUUCGAGUCUCCUCCCGUCGUCCUCACCCGAGUCUUCCAUCCAUCGUACUGUCCUUAAUAACUCUGAUGAUACUCGUUUAAUUAAUUUGAAGUAAAAAAAAAAUAAAAAAAGGAAAAACUAAGAAAAAUGGGAAAAUGCACUUUUGAUUCAUCAAUUAUUGAUAAAUUUCGAUUUUGCUCUUCUUGAGUUCCACGAAAGAUAUUAAUUUUGAAUUAAGGGAUAAUAGAUCCCUCAAUUGCUAGUAAGUUUUAAUUUGGGAUUAUUGAGAUAUCUGACUAAGCAUUGAACUUUGAAUGGUUGAAGUAAAUGCACUUUUCAUUCUUAUGCAUGCAACUUUACCAAGUUUAUCGGCGUAUCAAUUGUUAUUACAUUAUAUAAUUGACUAUGUGACUUCCAGUGGAGGUAGCGGUAUCGAUCCCCCUAAUGUCUCCUCAAUCUAACUCGUCGUACGGGAUUUAUGUAGUGCAGUUUACAUCUUCUGUGUGGUUUACAAGCGAUUGCACAGUGAUGGGUUUACCCAAUGCGCACAAAGUGCUCACCCGAAGGGCAGAGGCUGUGACAAAGGCUGUAGCGGCUGCAGUUUUUCUGGAGUUUCCAAAAAAAUACUUGACUAUGUGUAAUGUUAAUUAUAUGCUGUUAAUAUUUGAGGAUAUAAUUCCAUAUGUAGGAUCAAAAACAUAUUUUUUUUGUUCAUUGAGGAGGUGCUAUUUUAGUCAAAUAUGAUCACAACAAUGAAAAUCAAAAUUUAUUGAUAUUUCUAAGGACUAGAAGUUCAAUUUUCCCCUUGUAAAGAAAAAAAAAAGAGUGAUCAGAUUUGGUUUACACCUUCGGAGAGCUGACUUCCCGUCUCUGUUAUUCAAAUUUCUGAGGAGUGAUCAAACAUGGCUGUGAUCGUUCCAUUUUUAAUUUAAGAUUUCGGAUUUGAGCUUUCAAAAAUGAAGAAAAUUAUGUUGGGAGUGUCUCUCUAAAAAUGGAUUUUAUAAUGUACAAAUUCAAAUUUAAUCAGAUUCUAAUGUGAGUACCGAAUAUAUUGAGUGGAAAACUAAACAAAAUCUGAGUGAAUUUGUUUGGAAAAGAAAUAAAUACUAAAAUAACAAAGUAUAAAUGGCAUGGGAAUAAAUAAAAUAGAAAACUCAGCUAUCUCUGAUAGAUAAAAUCAUACAUUUGGAUGCUGAAGCUCACCAACAUAUAGUAUAGCAUAAAAAAAUGUUUGGAGGAAAUGAUCUGCUAAGCACAUUCUUUCAUUUGGGUGUUUGACUUUGACAGUUUCUCAUGGAUCUUUCCUCACACAUUUUUUUUUUUUUUUAAAAAAAAAAACGUAACAUCCUUAAAAAGAUUUAUUAUUUUAGCUGCAUUCUAAAUCAAUUAGAUUUCAACUUUAAGAAAAUUGAAUACAUUUAAUUCUCUUGAAAUACAUAUAAAUACUAAAAAAUAGUUAAUAAAAUGUUAAGAGAAACAAAUUAACAUUGAAGCACAUAGUAAGUCAUGGACAACAUGAUAAUCUUAGGAGUCGUUUGGCUAUGAAAAUUAUUUAUCUAUUUUGAAUAACUUUUUACUUUAUUUCAUAAUUACUGUUGAUCAUAAAUUUUUUAAAUCAAACUUGGAGUUAGGUUUCAAAUUUGGAAAAGUCCUCUGAAUUUAGAAUCUAGUUAUUGAUUAUUUGAACCUUCACUUUAUUAUUGACGAUGGUUCAAUUCUCUCUUUGCUAAUUUUUUCCACAUUUCACCUUUCCAUCUUCCUUAAACAUCAUAUUUGAAAAAUUAAAAAUUUAAAAUGAUCACGAACAGUAAAAAUGCUACUUUAUCAUGAAUAAAACCACAUCAGCAACAUGAAAAUCCAUUAUGACCCACUAAUUGCUUCUUUCUUCCGUUUCACCAAUUAUAAGUUCAGCCUAUUUUAGAUAAGUUGUCCCUACUUUGUGAAGUCGACUAUCAAAAAUUCAAAUUAGUAUAUAUUUAAAUUUGAAAUAGUCUUUCCAUACACUAGUAUAUACACAAAUAUGUUUAUAAAUAAAGAAUAACUAGGUUCAUUGUCUAGAUUUUUCUAAAACAUAUGAUUGAUUGAUUAUCACAGAUUGUGCUUGAAAGACUACGAAUUAUGUACAAUGUAACCAUAGUCUGUUGCAUCGUGGUGUUCCAUAUAUUUACAUUUGAGUUCAGCAAGUACAAUGUCAAUGAGAAAAUAGAAAAAAAGAAUAUCAAUAAUCAAUCAAUAGACCAAAUCAACAAAGGGGACUAUUAAUAAUUAUGUACUGACUAUUUGAAUUUUUACAUUAUUGGCGAGAAUUCAAUUCCUUGUAAUCCCCUCCCCUCUCCUUGAUAUACUCUCUUCAUUCUUAUUUACUUGUCUAGUUGCACACCCUUAAGAAAAAUAUUAACUAGAAGAUAAUUUGACUAAAUUAUUCUUAGUUAUUACUCAACUUUAUUUAAAAUUUCUCUUUUUUGGGCACUAUAGUAAUAUUUUCUCCAUAUUUAUGACUAAUAGUAAAAAUAAAAUCAAAUAAGUCAUAAUCUCUUGGUUUUCUAAAAUGACAAGUAUUAUGAAAUAUAUAUGUCAGUAAUAAAAACGACAAGUAUUUAGGAAUGAAGGGAGUAUAAUAUACACAUAAUUUUAACAAAAAAUGGACCAAACAAAAACUAAUAAAAUUAGGCAUUCCACCAAACAGAUAUAGAGGAACUUAAGUAAGCAAAUUGUGAACAUGUCAGCCACUAGGAGUGAGUGAACACUCAUUAAUCCAUACUCACGAGCUUAAAAUUUGUGUCCAUAUAUAUAAAUGAAUAUGAAGGAAAGGUACCUGUAUGGUCUACAGUUCUCAUAUAUUCAUACACUACUAGUACUAGUCUACUUCAAUCCCACUUGACAUGGUCACCACUCCACUAGUGUCCCUACAACUCCUUAUUCUUGCUUUAUUAUAUAUAUCUUUAAUUGCUAGUAGGAGUAUAUGUUAGCAAAUAUGUGAUAGAGACAUAUACAUGUGGAGCUCUAAAGCUUUCAAUAGUCACGACUCUAUCUACAUCUUCCUCACAAAAUUUUCCUUUUACUUUUAUUCAAGAAAAGGCAAGCUACAUAUUAUUUUCUAUCUAUGUGUAAUGUUUGAAAUAUAAUAAGUCAAAAUCGAAAAAAAUGCCACCAAAAAAUUGAGUAUGACUUACUUGAAAAUUUUAAAAUAUUAAGAAUAUCGUCUCAAGUGUCAAAUAUCUUGAGUCCAGAAUCUAUCGAAAAUAAUUUAUAUCUAUCUUCACAAAGUAAGAAUAAGGCUAUAUAUACACCACUCUUUAGACUUCACUAGUAAGAUGAUACUGUGUCUAUCAAGUAUUAAUUAGUUUUAUAAAAGAAUAAAAACGAAAUGUUCAAAAUGAUCAGUCCAGCUUGAAUUUGUCAUGCUUGAGUGGCCUAAUAGUGGAGGACCACAAUUUAAGUUUUAAAGUGAAAGGGGGAGAAUGGGUAAAGCAAGCAAGCGAGAGAGCGGGAGGUGGACAUUUAAUUUCUUUAAUUAAUUCAAGUUAUAUAUUAUAUAGUUAUAUAUAAUGAUAUUCUGACAUCAUCAAUUUUCUUAGAAUUAAUUUAAGUUGUACAUAUUAUAUGUUGACAACAACAACAAAUUCAGUGUAUUCCCAUAAAAUGGGGUUUGGGGAGGAUAAAAUAUACGCAAUUCAUACCACUACUUCCGAAAAAGUAGAGAGACUGUUUCCGAGAGACUCCGACUCAAGACAAAAAAUAGUAAAUAAAACAUAUUAUUUGUUGACGUUAUAAGUAAUUUUUUCCACAUCCGUUCUUUAAAGGAUGAGUGGCACCCAUUCCAAUUUUCAUUUGCGUUAUAUUAAAUUGCUCAUGCAGCAAAUGCUAAUUCUUGGGUAUAAGAAGGUGCGAAGAGCCUCACAUUAGUUUUUAAGGAUGAUGAAUUGUCUCGUUAAUAUAUUUUGGACAUUAAUCCUCACCUCUUGAACUAGCUCUUGAGAUACAUUUCUUCACUCUAUCACAUAAGAUUAUUUUAUUUUUCGAAUUUAACUUAUUAAGUUUGUUAUAAAAUAGUUACUUGUAAUUGUAAAUCAACUUAAUACCUCGUAAUAUAAAACUGUAUACACAAAAUUAGGAAGAAAAAAAAUGAAGGGUUUGCUUGAAAGCCAAUGGAAUCUAGGUAGUUUGUCUUACUAAUUUAUAGUUACAUCUCUUCAUGUACUACUACUUUCCUUUGAGUCUAAGAAGAGUAUAUGGAAUUAGUGAGGUAGAGUGUGCUUUUGACGUGCAAUCCUCACUUGCUUUGAUACUCGAAUCUGCUUCGUGACUUUAGCUGGCAUAUUAGUUAGUUAGCCAUAAUAAAUUAGCAAACAAAACCAUACAAGAAAUAUUAAAAAAAAAGAGGGUAAUGUGGAAACCAAACUUCAAGCUAUCACCAACUUUCCUUCAUGAUCUGUCUGUAUUUUUACUUUUCUUUCUUCUUACUUCUCUUUAUUUUGCUUUUUCAGUUAUGAUACUCUCUUUUUAAUGCUCAAUCAACUCAUUCAUUCACCUUAUUAUGCGUUGUAAGUUUGGUAACACUUAAAAUUAUGUCUAAAGUAUAUGUACAUUUCACCUCCAUAAAUGUAAUUUGGUAAAAGGUAAGAGCCUUUGUCUCCAUACAUGGUAUUUGAUCGCAGCUCUCUCAGCUCUAGUAAAUUACAUUCAAUUAAUGUAAUUGUCAUAGUUAUAACAAUACUUAUACCUUACUUUGAUGUACACCACAUAAAAUCAAAUACUAAUUAAAACUUAUUUAAUUUUAUGUAAUUUUAAGAAAAGUGAUUCCAGGUAUAUAUAGAAAAAGUUAGAAAAUACGACACUUUAGUUGCUUGUCAUGCAACUACCUAGGUGCAAUGGAGUGUUAAAUAUUCUCGGUUCCUGAUCAGAGGUAUAUUAAGUUUAAACUUCUGUUAUAACUAAUUAACCACUUUUAAUAGGAAAUACUUUACCUUAUUAACCACUUUUAAUAAGAAAUACUUUACCUUGAUAUAUAUAUAUAUAUAUAUAUAUAUAUAUAUAUGUGACUUCUCACACAUAUUUUGAUAUAUCCGAGAGCCAACACACAUANNNNNNNNNNNNNNNNNNNNNNNNNNNNNNNNNNNNNNNNNNNNNNNNNNNNNNNNNNNNNNNNNNNNNNNNNNNNNNNNNNNNNNNNNNNNNNNNNNNNNNNNNNNNNNNNNNNNNNNNNNNNNNNNNNNNNNNNNNNNNNNNNNNNNNNNNNNNNNNNNNNNNNNNNNNNNNNNNNNNNNNNNNNNNNNNNNNNNNNNNNNNNNNNNNNNNNNNNNNNNNNNNNNNNNNNNNNNNNNNNNNNNNNNNNNNNNNNNNNNNNNNNNNNNNNNNNNNNNNNNNNNNNNNNNNNNNNNNNNNNNNNNNNNNNNNNNNNNNNNNNNNNNNNNNNNNNNNNNNNNNNNNNNNNNNNNNNNNNNNNNNNNNNNNNNNNNNNNNNNNNNNNNNNNNNNNNNNNNNNNNNNNNNNNNNNNNNNNNNNNNNNNNNNNNNNNNNNNNNNNNNNNNNNNNNNNNNNNNNNNNNNNNNNNNNNNNNNNNNNNNNNNNNNNNNNNNNNNNNNNNNNNNNNNNNNNNNNNNNNNNNNNNNNNNNNNNNNNNNNNNNNNNNNNNNNNNNNNNNNNNNNNNNNNNNNNNNNNNNNNNNNNNNNNNNNNNNNNNNNNNNNNNNNNNNNNNNNNNNNNNNNNNNNNNNNNNNNNNNNNNNNNNNNNNNNNNNNNNNNNNNNNNNNNNNNNNNNNNNNNNNNNNNNNNNNNNNNNNNNNNNNNNNNNNNNNNNNNNNNNNNNNNNNNNNNNNNNNNNNNNNNNNNNNNNNNNNNNNNNNNNNNNNNNNNNNNNNNNNNNNNNNNNNNNNNNNNNNNNNNNNNNNNNNNNNNNNNNNNNNNNNNNNNNNNNNNNNNNNNNNNNNNNNNNNNNNNNNNNNNNNNNNNNNNNNNNNNNNNNNNNNNNNNNNNNNNNNNNNNNNNNNNNNNNNNNNNNNNNNNNNNNNNNNNNNNNNNNNNNNNNNNNNNNNNNNNNNNNNNNNNNNNNNNNNNNNNNNNNNNNNNNNNNNNNNNNNNNNNNNNNNNNNNNNNNNNNNNNNNNNNNNNNNNNNNNNNNNNNNNNNNNNNNNNNNNNNNNNNNNNNNNNNNNNNNNNNNNNNNNNNNNNNNNNNNNNNNNNNNNNNNNNNNNNNNNNNNNNNNNNNNNNNNNNNNNNNNNNNNNNNNNNNNNNNNNNNNNNNNNNNNNNNNNNNNNNNNNNNNNNNNNNNNNNNNNNNNNNNNNNNNNNNNNNNNNNNNNNNNNNNNNNNNNNNNNNNNNNNNNNNNNNNNNNNNNNNNNNNNNNNNNNNNNNNNNNNNNNNNNNNNNNNNNNNNNNNNNNNNNNNNNNNNNNNNNNNNNNNNNNNNNNNNNNNNNNNNNNNNNNNNNNNNNNNNNNNNNNNNNNNNNNNNNNNNNNNNNNNNNNNNNNNNNNNNNNNNNNNNNNNNNNNNNNNNNNNNNNNNNNNNNNNNNNNNNNNNNNNNNNNNNNNNNNNNNNNNNNNNNNNNNNNNNNNNNNNNNNNNNNNNNNNNNNNNNNNNNNNNNNNNNNNNNNNNNNNNNNNNNNNNNNNNNNNNNNNNNNNNNNNNNNNNNNNNNNNNNNNNNNNNNNNNNNNNNNNNNNNNNNNNNNNNNNNNNNNNNNNNNNNNNNNNNNNNNNNNNNNNNNNNNNNNNNNNNNNNNNNNNNNNNNNNNNNNNNNNNNNNNNNNNNNNNNNNNNNNNNNNNNNNNNNNNNNNNNNNNNNNNNNNNNNNNNNNNNNNNNNNNNNNNNNNNNNNNNNNNNNNNNNNNNNNNNNNNNNNNNNNNNNNNNNNNNNNNNNNNNNNNNNNNNNNNNNNNNNNNNNNNNNNNNNNNNNNNNNNNNNNNNNNNNNNNNNNNNNNNNNNNNNNNNNNNNNNNNNNNNNNNNNNNNNNNNNNNNNNNNNNNNNNNNNNNNNNNNNNNNNNNNNNNNNNNNNNNNNNNNNNNNNNNNNNNNNNNNNNNNNNNCCUUGAUAUAUAUAUAUAUAUAUAUAUAUAUAUAUAUAUGAGACUUCUAACACAUAUUCUGAUCUAGCCGAGAUCCAACACAAAUAUCAUAUACCUCGAGGAGAAAAAAAAUUGCUUUUUAUGGUAAGCUAGACCAAGUGUAGUUAAAGGGAGUGCAGUGCAAAUGAGGACUCUACUAUUUAGUUUAAAAGAAACUUUUUUUUCUUAGUAGGACAUUAGGCAAAAUUGGUUGGCCAAUAUACUUUGAAAAAAAUAUUCAUUCAUUAAUUUCAUCCACUAGUUUAACACUUGGUGGUUUUUUGACUCUUCAAACAAUUUUUAUACCAUUCACUACACAACACAAUAUAUAUAUAACUAACAGAAACACUUUAGCAAUCUCACCACUCUUCUCUAUUCCUUCAUCACUCUUCUCUCUUUUUCAUAUUCACUUGCUUCACUUCCACUUACUUUUCUUAACCUUUUUUUCUCUUAUGGAAUUCUCUGAGGACUCAAUCGAUCGGACUUUGGUGUUCAAAGGAAAGCGCAGUAAGCGGCCACGGCAGUUCAUGGCGGUAGCGAUGGUCACUUCCACGUCAUCAACCGCCUGCGACGGUGGCGCUGGUGGUGGUGCAAGUGGCAGCAACGGAGGCAGUGGUGACGUCGGACGUGGAGGUCAUGAGAUUUACUCUUCAUCACCAACUACUUCAACUACUCAGAUAUCAACUAGCAGUACAUCAGAGGAAGAUGAAGAUAUGGCUAAUUGUUUAAUACUAUUAGCGCAAAGUGGCCGAUGUGAGAAACUACAAGUUGAAACUACUGAACGUAAGAUGGUGAAAAUCAGUAGCCGAAAGUUUGCAGAAAUGGCCACAACAUCUACUGGAUCAAAAGCUGGGUUCUAUGUCUACGAGUGCAAAACUUGUAACAGAACUUUCCCGUCUUUUCAAGCACUUGGUGGGCAUAGAACAAGUCACAAAAAAAUCAAAACCGUAACUGAAGAUAAAAAAUCUACUGCUGAUUCAAAUUCUCAAUUACAGCAAGGGCAUCAUCAUCAACAACAACUACUGCAUCAACACGAAGAAAAGUCCAGUCGGAUUAUCACGCCAUCAGUUAAUUAUUCCACAGGUAAUUCGAAUUCAGUUGCCAAUUUGAUCAACAUCAAGCCAAAAAUCCACGAGUGUUCAAUUUGCGGGGCGGAAUUCUCAUCAGGUCAAGCUUUAGGUGGACACAUGAGAAGACAUAGACCACCAACAAUUACAACAACAGCAACAAACACUAAAAAUAUUACUGUUGAUGAAAUCAGCAACACUUCAGAUAAUUCAUCACAUGAUGAAAAUUCAAAGGAGAAUAAGCCAAAAAUAUUCUUAUCGCUUGAUCUGAAUCUUCCAGCGUCACCGGAAGAUCAUGAUCAUCAACGAGAUGCAGCUAAUUUUGAAUUUUCAGCUAACCAGCAAAAUCUCAUGUUUUCUGCUGCUGCUUUGGUGGAUUGUCAUUACUAGUUAAACAGAAAACAAAUCAGUUUUACUUACUUUUUUUUUGUUGACACUUUAAUUUGGAAUUAUUAUAAUUUGUAGAAUCAUUGUUAUUGCUAUUUAUAUUUAUUACUAUUCUUCAUAAUUUUGAUUGUAGAUUGUGUAUAUAUCCUUUUCGGGAGAACAAGUUGUUUUAAUCAAUGUUGAUUAUCUACCUUUUUUCUUUGAAGUUUUUUCACUACUUUCAAGUGGUUAGUGUUCACGUUUGCUUUUCAUUCACGAAAAGGGUGAAGUGAUGGGGCAUCUUUAAAUAUACAGAGACGGAUAUAGUAGGAAAAAAAUUUUCAUAUUUUUUUUUCUUUUGUAAUUUUUCUCGAGUGGAGAGCGAUGUGUAACACAUUGACACUCCACAAAACCAAAACCCAAAAAAAAGAUGGUACUUGAGAGGAGGGAUUCGAUGACAUAUUGUAUUUUCAAAAAUUAGUAUUAGUUAAAUUUAGUGAUUUUUACAAGUAUAUUUGUAGAAAAUAAUGGGUUCAGUUGAAUCCGUUGUGAAUUGUGACACUGUCGCUUUCUGAGUAUGGCUAACCAAAAGUUUGUGGAUCAGGUUCUUUUUCUGUGUGAUGUUGUGAUUACUACUAGCAGAAAACAGCUAAAAUAUAGUGGAACUCAUCUGUUGUGACUUUGCUAACCAAAAGUUUGUGGAUCAGGUUCUCUUUUUGUGUGAUGUUGUGAUUACUAAUAGCAGAAAACACCUAUAAUAAAGUGGAGCUCCUUAUGUUGUUUCUUUUCAAUAACAAUUAAAAUUAAAUAAAAAUGGAUAAGGGAAGCCGGGUGGGUAAACGCCAAUUCCAUGUGAAUGCCACCUGUAUACAUUUUCUUGUCUUUGUUUCUUUCAUCCAGCUAAGUACCUACUUAAGUCACUUAUAUUUGUUUCUUCUUCUAGUACUAUGAUAUGAUCUGUCCCUAAUCUUUUGCAUUAAAAUUUGGUGUCAAAAUAGUGAUCGAUCACAGAUGGAGUUUCGUUUUUUAAAUCUUUUUAUUUUGUGAUAACCAUAAUUUCAUCGCUGUCCUAUCACUAAUUAGGGACAUAAUGGCAUUCAGUGUAUUGUGGAAUAGAUGUAGCAGCUCUCAGCCAACCCAUCACACCUAAUUUUUAAUGUAAUCGUCCCUUACUUUUCAAGCUUCUUAACAACUAAAAAUAACUUUACUUGUGCAGUGAGCGUUGUCAUACCAGAAAUAAUAGACAUUGCAAAUCACACGUCACGAGCAGUUGGGAAUAAGGUCUAAAGUUUACACCGCAUCUAAUAUAAUAAUUGUGCUUUGUAAAACUUGGGCUCUAUAUAUCAGUGAAAAUUCUCUACAGUCCAUGGUUUAGGUAAGCGCACAAGAGUUGUUUUUUUUCUCUAAUUUUAAGAUUGUGAAUUCGAGUCGCCAAGCAAGCAAACACUAUAAUUAUCAUGAGUGUUUUUCCAUUACGUUAGAUUAAAGUUCAAACACAAAAACACAAGUUAUGAAACACAAGGCUAGCUGAUCAUCUGACUGCAAAUCUACUUAGACUACAUAAAAAGCAAUCUUGUUAUAACCUUGAUUAUUCACUCUCAAAAUCAUACAUAGCCAUGUAGCUUAUAGAUUUAUAUUUUUAAGAUCUUUUUUACUAAUAUUAGGGGCAGCCCCAAAAGAGGGGAAUAGGAAUUGACGGCAUAAGUUGCCUAAAUAAAUAUUUUACUAUUUAAUGAUGUUUGUUAUGUGCACGUUUCGAUGAUUAUUGGUAAUUAAGCUAUGCAUGUUGAUACAUUGGUACCUUGUUUGGGAUAUUAUGUCCAAAUACAAUGUGUAUCUAUGUGUGGAAGAGAGUUGGCUAUUAAAGAGGAAAGAUUGGUGCACAUGUAGUGGGGGACUAAGUACUUGAUCAGUUUAUCUUUCUUUUUUGUUCCGUGUUUGAUACUCCAAUUGAAGCCUGAUACUAUAAAGCUUGUUUCACGUUGAAAAAUUUUAUAUUAAAAUGAAACGCUUAAGAUAAAUGAUUCUAUACCUGAAAAAUUUGAUCUCGAUCUCAAUCUCUCAUUAAAAAUGGGGGUUCUUAUUAUUCCAACGUAACCUCUGGUUGGUGUACUUGUUCAGUAUAACUCAUAAAUUAUCUUGUAUUAAUUUCAACUAUUAUAAAAUGGAUGUUUUUUUUUAAGUUACGUUUUCUAUAGUGACAUUUCAAAAGAGUUGUAUAGAAGUCAAAUUAUAUCCAACUAUUUAGAAUCAAUGGUAAUUUGAAAGAAGUUAAGUUAGCUAAACCUAUACUAAUUGUACGUAUAAAAAUGUGAACGUUGGAGCUAGAUAGAUUAUGUUAAUUUUGUGAAAAUCCUCUACAUCAUCGGUAAAUAUAAGUAAAAGGAGAUAUAAAGGACCCUGUGUCCAAUAUAAAUUACUUUUUGUGUCUCAAUUUAUGUGACACGAAUUAUAUUUAGAAAGUCAGUAAAAUUUUUACAUGUUCUUUUAAUUUAUAAUAUUUUUUAUAUAAUUUUCAAAUAAAUAUAAGUUACUCUGUCUCAAUUUAUGACAUUGAUACAAUUUCAGUCAACUAAAUUUUUAUAUAUCUUUAAAUAUUUUAAAUUGUUAAUUAUUGUAUUUAUAGUACUUUUUAUAUUAUUUUUUCAAAUAAUAUAUUACACUUCUUUUGUUUCAAUUUAUGUGAAACUAAUAAAACUUUGAGAAUAAAUCAAAUUUUUGUGUCUUUUAAAUAUUUUAAGUUAUUAAUAUUAUGAUUUUUAUUACUUUUUAUGUGAUUUUUAAAUACAUAAAAUAAAUAUAUGUUAUCUAACAGUAUGAAAUAACCAUAAAAAGGGAGGAGUCAAUCAAAUUGGCCCCUUUGUCUUUUAGAAGUAAGGAGAAUUCAUCAUUGAAAAGCAUUACUAAUUUUAAUUUAGAAAAAAAAAAAUUGAAUUGGAUUAGUAUUUCAAAUUAUUAUACGUGGAAUAGCAAAGAAGUAAUAUAGCAAAGUCAAUGAUCAAAUUAUCUGUUACGCAUAAUUCACAGUUUGGAAAUUCCGUCGAGUUGUCAACGUGUUAAUUAUACCUGUCCACAGUUGAAGGUUUCACUAGCUAGUGACGGCGUAGGAUGAUGCACGUUGCUAUUAAAAGAAAUACAUAUGUACCACUAUUAUACGUAUUGAGUUAUACCAAUUUAUAAUGAUUGAAUGACAAAAUAAUUAAAAAUAUGUAGUACAUUUUCUGGUUAAAUUUAUGUGAUUUUAUUUUGUUUGUGAUUCAAAUAAUAUUUAGAUCCACAUUUACAAUGUGAUUUCAUCAUAUUUGACAUGAGAAUAAUCAACAAUUUAAGUUUAUUUUUAUGAUUUUGAAUAUUAAAUUUUAAUUUAAAAUAAGUAUCUUUAAAAAUUAUUUUCCAAAAUUAAAAAGUGCCACAAAAUUUACAAGCGAGGGAAUAGUAAUUAUUUUUGACCUUUUGCUAAAAGUUCGCACCUUUUAAUUUUCUUGAUAAUUCGAACCCGUGUGGGAGGCGAAAGAUGCUUGUCAUGAGGGAAAAGUAAUUAACCAUUGUUAAGUGAUAAUUUUUAUAUUUGUUGAUGUGAAUUGUGGCAAACAUGUUGUAUGGAACGAAGUGUUGGUCAGUUAAGAAUUCUUACAUUCAAAAGUUAAUGGUGGUGGAGAUGAGGAUGUUGCGAUGGAUGUGUGGACUUAUCAGGAGUGAUAAGGUUAGAAAUGAGAUUAUUCGGAAAGAAGGUGACAUUCGGUUCGAUAGAGGCAAGAUGAGAAAAGUGAAGUUGCAAUGGUUCAUGCAUGUGAUGAGGAGAGGCACAGAUGCUCCAGUCCAAGGGUGUGAGAGACUGACUAUGGAUGAUUUCAGGCAGGGCAGAGGUAGACCGAAGAAAUAUUGAAGGGAGAUGAUCAUUAGACAUGAUAUGGAACAGUUACAUCUUACGGAUGACAUGACCUUGAUAGGAAAGUGUGGAGGACGCGAAUAGGGGUAGAGGUUUAAUGGGUAAGAGUUUGUCAGUAACAGUAAGUAAGAGUACUUUUGUUUGUAUCUACAUUUGUAGUUGCUUGUUCGUGGUGUUUUGGUGAUGUCUUCAAUUUUGAAUAGAUAAUUUAUAGUACUACCUUGUGGGUGCCUUGUUUUCAUUAUUAUCUACUAGUAGGGUGUUAUCUCAUUUUUGUUGUGUGUUUUUAUGUUUUCUAUUUUUUUUAGUUUGUUUGUUAUUUGUCCUGAGCCGAGAAUCUAUCGGAAACAACCUCUCUAUAUAUUUUAUUUGAGGUAAUAGUAUAAACUGCAUACUCUUUAUUCUUUUUAAAUUCCGGUUUGUGAGAAUAUAGCAGGUAUGUUUGUUGUUGUUGAUGACUCGAUGUGAAUUGUGAUACACAGUGAGUGCAAAUAAUGUCUUUAGCUUAUAAUAAUGGUGAUGAUCAAAGCAUAGGCAAGUGACAGUGGCUGUAGAAUUUGUGGUUAAAUUGAGUUCAUACUUUAUUGGAAGCAUCGUGUGGGCAGCUCACCAGAAUAUAUUAUCCUUCCAGAUGGCAUGCUUCUCAACUCAACAGAUCUGUUCUCUAUUUCUUCUAAAAAUCCAUUGAAAAAUUAUGUCCAAGAGUUAAAAGUAAUUUCCAUUUUUUCUUCUCUCUUUUUUCUAUUGGCUUACGUUGUUUUCUAUACUAGUAAAAGAUGGUAGUUCAAGAACCUAACUAAACUUGAGGGUGCCAAAGGGAGAAUGAAAUGGAGACACAUUUUGCCACUUGACUUAUGUUUAGGGCACGAAGUACAGAUUCAAUUGUUACUAUAUAUAUUUAAAAUUUAAUUAUUAUCAUUUGAAUUCAUCAUUCUGAAAUUUAAAAGUUACAUAGUUAAAAUCCAUACUUAAAUGAUAAUUUUUUCUCAAUUUAUUUAUCUUAUUUUUCUUAUUCGUGUGUUUCGAAAAAUAUGUCUUUUUUCCUUUUUGGCAAUUCCUUAAUUCUAAGUAAACAUUUGAUAGUAAGAAUUUUUUACUUUUUUCUAAAAAAUUAUUUUAUUUUAGUGAAAAAAAUUAAAAUAGUAGUGUUUGAUCAUAAUAAUUAUUUUUGAAAAAGUAAAUUUUCACUUCUAUUUCUCUCACAAAAUUUUAAAACACAACUUCAAUUUAUAUCCAUGGUCAAACACAACACCAGCUCCAGCUCCAACUCCAACUUUAAAAAAUUGUUACUUUCAUGACUAAACGAGAGGCCUAAUUUUUCAUUCGAUAUAUUUAAGUUUAUAAACUUAAUAAAUAUUUUGUCACAUUUCACAUAUCUUAAUUUCAAAUCAUUUUUAAAAAAAAAAAAAAUACUUUUUAAAUAAUAUAUCAAGUCAUUAUCGAAUACACAAAUUAAAAUUGAAGCAGCAGUAUGCACCAAUAAAAAUAGUGAGGGCAGGAAAUGCAGGUUAUAAUUAUGAUGUAUCGAGUGUGAAAGUAUGCCAUUUGCCUGCCAUUAUACCAGCAAUACAUUACCACAUCCUCCUAUUAAAAUAGACUUCAUCUUCUAACGCCUAAAUAAACUUCAUGUUCAUUUGUGCAAUAGCUCCUUUAUAACGAUUCAACUGAACUCUCUCACUAUUUUUCUAAAAAAAAAAAUUAAUAGGUAUUUAGUGAAUCUUUUAACACAUACAAAUGAUCUAAGCUAGAGGCGAGGCUAGAGGGAUGGAAGGGGGUUCGUUUGAAUCUCUUUGGAAACAAAAAACACACAUUUUAUAUAUUAGAAUAAUUAACUUUUAUUUGUUACGUAAGUUAAGUUCUUGAUAAAAAAUUUCUUUCACCGCUAACACGCAAAUUACAUGUAGAUAUACCUCUGGCUUUUACCUUGUAAUGGCGCAGUAAUUUUGACUGAUACUCGACUUUGCUAAUAUGAAACUAUGACAUCAGUGUCCAUGCCUUAAAGACAAUUUCAUAAUUUUAUUUUUCAGUUACUGAAUUUUUAUCACCUAAACUCCUCAAUAAUUUAAAAAAGCUAGUUGACUGAUCAACUGGGAAUUCAACUUCAAGAACUGCAGAGUAGUGCAGACAAUUUGUUAAUGGUCUAAGACGUGUAAUUAAGUACUACUACUUAAUUGGAAAUAAUUGAUUGGUGAACCGUUAAGUAUAGUAACUACUUGUCGACUUUUAAUUUUUGUUUCAUAUAACCACCGUUUCAUGUUCUAUGGUUGUUGAUAAUAUAAUGCCCACAUUCAAAUAAAAACAAGCAUACCUACUAUACUUUGAACUAAUCUCACUUAUGGUUUCAACCGUAUAUUGAUAUGAAUGAACUAACACACGUUUGUAAGACAAGUGCAAAUGGUCCAAGUCAAAUCAUCAUAUAUAUGUAUCAAGGAUUAGUUAGUGCUAAUUAUAUUUGAUAUUUAACUGCUUUUUUAACCCAACCAACAACCACAACAAACAUAGUAACUAUAGUUCGACCAAGGCUUUACCCCUACUUCGUGAAGAUAGAGAGGUUGUUUUUAAAGGAUCUUCGGCUCAUGAGCAACAAAUCACAGCAAUUAAUGAAUAAGGGAAUAAGAUGGUAAAAUGACGUUUUUUAACGAAUCCUAAAAGAAAAAAAUGAAUUAAACAGGAUUUAACUAUAAAGUUUCGGACUAAUGAGACUUCGAUCAAGUAAUUGAGCACCUUCAACAUCAACCGGGAGGCUUGAGAAUUUGAGUCAUGCCAAAGAGUAAGUGAAAACAAAUUUUGACCCUCUUAUUGGUGGGGUGGGAAAAAAUAGAAAAACAAAAAGUUUGGCAACCCAAUUGGCAAUCAUAUCAACGAAGGACUAGGUGGCCUUACAAAUCAAGUUGAUUUUUUUAAGGAUAGUUCCUUUUCCAGAUUACGAUUAAUCUUUCAUCUUUGCAUAGUGAUCAUUUAAAGGAAAACAGCAAAAAAAUAAGUUUAUUAGACAAAUUAUACUCGUUAACAUAGAGUAUUACGUAAAUAAAAAGAAUUGAGAAACUUAAAAAGGAAAUGAAUGGGGAUAUUAGAAGUAAGAAGCUUAAAAUAAAGGAAAAAUUAUCUAAAAGAACAACUUAUGUUUCAAAACUACUAAAAAUUCCUUCACUUUUAAAAUAUUACAUAUAUCCCAACAUUUACUACUUUUACUAAAAGUUGAGAUACAAGUUUAAGAUCUCAUAUUCAUACGCUUUAUUUUACCAAAACAAGACCCCUUUUUCUUUCUCAUUGUACGUCAUAAUUUCAGCUACAGUUUCAAUCCAUUCUUUCCCUCUAAUUCAAACUUUUGAAUUAAAGUAAAAUUUCAUAUUCACUGUCUUCUUGUCAAAAAGGAGAUAAAAAGACCUAGCUCUCUUACUCUCUCUUCUCCCAGGCGAUCUCAAUGGAAGUUUAGCCCUCAAUGACUGCGGCUGCUUUACCCCAAAUGAUCUAGAUACACAAACUUAUGCGACACUAUUCAAAUCAACUCCUUGCACAUUUGGGAAGGAAUUUCAAUUGUAAUCUGUUGAUAUAAUCAAUAGUGAACCUAUUAUUCUAUUUGAACCAUCUGAUAUUAUAUUCAAGGUUAUGUUAAAGAGGAAAAUUUUCAAUAUGCUCUUGCUGCAAAGUUUUCCUGUGGGAGGCCAUCGGCAAUAACCCUAAGGGGUAAGACGAUAACCCUUGAAGUUGAAUUCAGCGAUACCAUCAACAACAUCAAGGCCAAGAUUUAAGACGACGAAGGUAUUCCACCGGACCAUCAGCGACUGAUCGUUGCUUGUACAAAAAAGAUUCUUUAUAAAAAAUAACCCACUUUUUCCUCUUUGUACGCCACAAUUUGUGGAGCGGUUUCUAUCCAACUUCUUCAUUCAAUUCAAAACUUGUAGCAAGGUAAUUUUCCUCCCUAAAAUCCGAUUCAAUUUCUUCUAAUUAUUUUUACGUUUUUUUUUUCAAAAAAAAUAUUUUGCACUUAAGUUUACAAAGUAAAAUUUUGGUGAUUUGGUUGAGCAAUUUCUUCGAUUAAUUGUUUUUUAGGCUUCAUUGUUUGAAUUGCCAUCAUGAAUAGAGAUUUGGGACCUUCCUUUAAUAUUCGGAUUUCUCAAUUAGAAAGUAUCAAAGAAUCUCAUGAAGUUGUUAACUUCGUUUCCACAAGUUUUGAUUAUGAAUUUGUUGACUUUGAUGAAAAUAGAUUAAAGCAUAGAAACGAUCCCCAAAUUAUGAAGAAAUUGUGGAAAAAGCAUUCUAAGGACAAGAAAAAAGAAAGUGGUUCUAACAAAAAGGGAUCCAACAGUCCUGAAAAUAAAGCUCCUGCCAAGAGAAAAAGAAUUGUCGAAGCAAUUUCCAGAGAUGAACUUCCCAAGGUAAUUGCAUGUUCAAAUCUAUGAAUUUUAGGCCAAGAUACAUAUUUUGGGUUGCAUGAUACGUUUAGAAUUUCAUUGUGUAUUUGUUUUUUUGUUGCUAAGUUAUUUGUAUCUUGUGUAUUUUAUUUUUUAUUGAAAUUAACAUAACAAAAUACAAGUUCAUAGGUACAUAGAUACAUGUUAAGUGGACUUAUAUAUGUGAGUGAUCAUUAAUGCUUUGAUUUGUAUCUAGUUUUGUUCAAUUUUACUUAAAGUCUAAAUAUAUUAGAUACAUGUUUUUAUUUCUAAGAUACAUGUUAUAUUAACUUGUAUUUGUGAGUUACUGUUAAUGUUUUGAUAUGUUUCUUGUGUUGUCUAAAUGGUAUUGAAAGUAGAAUUACACAAGAUACUUUUUUUCACGUUGAGAUACAUGUUGUAGAUAUUAAGCAUACAUUUGUAUAAUCUUGUAUCUAAUGUUUUAUGUUCUUAGUGCUUUUAUAUAUAUUGUAUUGUCUUAGAGUAAACUUGUUGCCUCUCAAAUAAUUUUUUUAUUUAUUUUUUUAUUUUUAGGGAUUGAAUUACGUUACAAGUAUGUUAUAACAAGUUAAAUGCAUUGAUAAUGUAAAAAUAUUUUUACAUUAUUUGUUUAUAAAAGUUAAUUUAAUAUUAAAUCCUUAGAUGGGGAGCUCUUGUGCAUCCUAAAUUCUGCACAUGAUCAGACAAUAGCUAGACUAGCCCCCGUUUUGUAUUAGAUACAUAAUAACAAAACAUGUGUCUUUCUGUAUUAAUAUGUAUCUCGUUCAUUAUCUGAAGCAAUUGUUUAUUACCUGCAUUAAUCACAUUAGAUACAUAAAAUAUUUAAUUUGUACCUCUUUCAGUUUUAAUGAUUACGGUAGGCUGAUGUAACAUAUAUUUCAUUUGUUUGCAAUUUGAAUAGCAUCUGGAUGUCAUCAUGUACUACUUGAGGAAGAAGUACAAGAACAAGAAUUUUUCAAGCAAGAGAUACACUAUCACAGAUUGCUUUUUCAAGGUGUACAUCGAUAAGGCAUAUGUGAAUUACGAUGAUGCUGACGCUGGCAACGAGCUUGCCACACAAGAUGCAUCUACAAAGACUGAUGAGGUUGCUGAUAUGGAGAUGACAUUGAUUAACACCAUCAAGGGAUUCAGUCCGCGCGCAGGUCAGCCUUGGCAUUUGGUUAAUGAGGUCUUUGUCUCAAUUAACUGUGAUGGUGCCUUUCACUGGAUAUUGGCACGCAUUGCAUUAAAGGAUCGAUGCAUUGGUGUGUACGAUUCAAUGGUCUCUUCACAAAAACAUUGUUGAUGAUAUAAACUUUGAUGAUGUUAGUGAUGUUUAGACAAGUAUACAUUAAGUUUUUUUAAUGAAUAAUUACUUCUAUUUGCAUUAACAUUCUAACGCAAUGCUAAAUAACAUAAAGAUAUAUUUAUGUUAUCGUUAUGAUAUUUUUUUCACGCAAUAAAUAGACAUUGUAUUGACUACAUGUUUUACUAUAUUUUAUAAUUUUAUGUAUCUAAAAUAAAGAAAGAUAUAUUCCAAUAUAGGUAUUAACCAUCACAACAUUGUCGUAUUAUCUAUAAUAAUUUUUUGUUAUAGAUAAUUCAUGUUGUCUCUUACAUACAUACCAUAUUAUAUCAUAACUUAAUAGAACUAAGUCUUAAAAAUAUUAACCUAUUACAUUUUACAUGUGAGACAAAUUAUUAGAUCUUGUAUCUAUUACUUUAUAUGAGAUACAUCUUCUCAAAUUGUAUGUAUCUAUUAUAAGAAAAUUAUUUUACUAUAUAAUCAUAGUAACCAACAAAUUAUUACAUUUCUAUGUAUCUACAACCCUUUUUAUCAAUCGAAAAAGAUGUUUGACUAUAACCUGCAUAACAAAUUCUAGCAGAACUUAUAUUACUAAAUCUUAAUAAUAUUGACAAAUUAUAUUUUACAAACGAUGCAUGUUUGUUAAAAUUUAAUGGAGAUACAUACUAUAAAAAUGUGUCUAUUUUCUAUCGUUCACUAUGGCAGAACUACUAAUAGAAUGUAUAAUAACAUUGUCAGUUCAAUAUAUCUAAAUUUCUACUUUAUGUGUUACCGAAAAAUACACCAUCAAAAUAUAUAUAUAACUAAAUAACAAAUUAACAAAGAAUGCUAUUUAUUUCGAUAAAUGUAUUUUUCUAAAUUUCAUAAAAAAACAAAAAUCUCAUUAACUAAAAUGUCGAACAAAAUAGAUAAAAAAAUCCAGCAACAUUCCGAGGAACUAUUCAACAUUAUUCAUUAGUAAACUACAUUUGUCACUCCUUCUUUGGAAAGAAUUUGCAAGUGAGCCUGUUGUGACCUUUAUAACCACAUCUCUCGCAACAAUUACUGUUCGAUGUCAUUGUUUCACUUGAUUUCUUGUGCAUGUUUUUCUUUGGCCUUCUAGGUUGUCGUUUGUAUUUAGGUGGUAAUACAACUUACCAGGAUAAUGCUUUAAAUGUCCAAACAUAAUCCUCUAAACAGCAUCGUAAGAUAUAACUGAAUCAAUGAAAAUAAAACGUCAACUUUAUAACCUUCAGUUACUUUUAAACUGUAUAAUAAGACAUCAAUAUAUUCACCAAAAUUCAUAAUUAGACAUCAAUAUAUUAACCUAGAUAAAAGAUGAUCAAAACGUAUCUUUUAUAUAAAGAUGUAUAUCGACCAAAUUAACAUAACGUCAUGACUAAAACACAAGAAAUAUAAUUAAACAUAACUUCAUAAACGGAGAUACAAGACGGAGCAAAAUGUAUCAUUUUCAUAACAAAAUGUAUCUCGGCGUGAAACUUGUACAACAUGUAUCUAGGACAUUUCUAUUAUAUCUUUGACCUUCCAGGUUGACGUUUGUAUUUAGGUGGUAACGCAACUUACCGAGAUGAUGCUUUAAAUAUCCAAACAUAAUUCUCUGAACGGCAUCUUAAGACAUAACUGAAUCAAUGAAAACAAAAAUUCAACUUUAUAACCUUCAGUUACUUUCAAACUGUAUAAUAAGACAUCAAUAUAUUCACUGAGAUACAUAAUUAGACAUCAAUAUAUUAACCUAGAUACAAGAUGAUCAAAACGUAUCUUUUAUCAUAAAAAUGUAUAUCGACCAAAUUAACAUAACGUCAUGACUAAAACACAACAAGAAACAUAAUUAACCAAAACUUCAUAAACUAAGAUACAAGAUUAGCAAAAUGUAUCAUUUUCAUAACAAAAUGUAUCUAAGCGUUAAUAACAUAAAAACACAAAAACAAUCUGUAAAAUAAUCAUCAACCAAACAUUUAAUACAAAUUUAAAUUAAUGUACAACAAAUUAACAACACGCUACAAAAAAAAAAUAAUUAACAUAACUUUUCUUGACCAAUCUUUUGGCAUAAUAAUUGAAAGAAUUCUCAAUUGCAAAUCGCGUCAUAAUCGAAAUGAGAGUACUCUUGUCUAUUUUUUUCCUUGUUUCGUCAAUUUCAAGUCUCCCGCAAUUAUAGAAAUCAGUUUUUCGUAAGUAACAUGUUCACUGACCAGAAUUUCAUCACUCUUAUAACCAACAUACUUGAUUUCGUCAACCCAAACACCAAAAUGAUGUAAAAGCACCGAAAUAUUCAUAUCAAACAACCGAAAAUAACAAAUGAAAAGUUUAUGAAGAUUUAUCAAUUUCAAAAAUAUAUUAAAAGAGAGUUUAUGUUUUAACAAAGUGGAGUAAUAAACGGAUUCCCAUUAAUUGUGGGAUUUGAUUUUGUUUUUUUACCUUAAUUAGUUAGCUUUAAUGUUGAUUUGAUGGAAAGUUAUCUGUUGCAUUCCUUAAAAAGUGUUGACUUAGUUAAUUAAUAUAUGUAUCAGCAGUAUGUAUCUAAUGUGAUUAACUUGUAUCAUCAGAGGUCAAAUUUUGGGAUUUUAGGAGAUUUUGAAAAAAGUUGGAUUUUUAGUAAUUAGUAGUAAACAUGUCGUUAUAUAUGUAAUUUUUACUAAAAUAAAAGCUUUAUGGCAUUCGUUUGAAGUUAGGAAAAAUUAAGUUUGCAAACUAAGUUUUUAAUUUUACUUUUUGCCAAAAAUGUUUGCUUGACAUGUUUUCGUUUGAUCGACGUUUAAUUUUAGAGUUAUUGAAAUUACGAUAACAGAACUGAUAUAAUUCAUUUGCCUAUAAACAAAUAAUUAAGAUAGAUAUUGGAAAACAUGAAAUUUCAUAACAAUUAGUUGAUCAAGACGGACGUAUAUGCAAGUAUGAUUGAUAAUGACAGGAUAUAAGAUAAUAAUCAAAGUUGUGAUGAAAUAAUAAAUAUUCUUACAAGUGAUUUGAGAGUGUAUCCAAAUGUGAGACUUUCAGAUGCAACUUUAAAUUUAAGCGAAUUUCAAUACAGUUAUCGACACCAACUAAGAAGAAUUAUAAAAUAAAAUAAAAUAAAAACAUAGAACUUUAUCUGAUUUUGGGGUCCAUUAGUGGAGUCUCAAUCUGAUGUGUACAUUUUUUUUUAACGUUAUUUUUUAUGUCAUCCUCCCUAAAUGACAAGGGGAAAUUGAAAGGGCGAGGGAGAAACUUUAUGGAUAAGAAUUCCUUAUCAAGCUUAUUGAGACCAUGAAUUUAUCUAAGAAAUAAAAAACUUUGCACUUAAUAGUUUCUAUGGGACAUCAUAUAUGCUGGCAUGGCAUGUUAUAUAUAUCUUUUUUAAGUAUACAUCAAAGUGAGCACCUACUUAUAUGCAAACAUAUCUUCUAAAAUAACAUAGAAUGUGUGCUACUACGGGAAUUAAGAUCCUCCUUGAUAAUUAUUAAAUCAACUAUCUCAUACUUAUCCCAAUCCUUGCUGAAAUCAGAACAGGACUAUAAGCGAGAAUAAAUAAGAAUAUUAUCAGGUGUUCAAGAGAGUUGUUGCUAAAUGUUUGGACUUCCAUCAUUUUAUUACUUCAUCCAUUUCUAAAGUUUAUUACAUGUUGAAAUUCAAGUAAAUGAUUUGAACUUCAAUUAUAUAUAAUAGAUUCGAAGUUCGACUAAAUUAUUGAAGUGGGUAAAAAUUUUAAAAUUUAAAUUCUAUCAAUAAUGUCUGAACUUCAAAUAUAUAAAACUUCAGGUACAUUAGUUGAAAUUAAACUUUAUAUUUUUGAUAUCGUUUGUUUGAAGUUAUUUCCAAGUAGAUAGACAUUUGAAAAUAUAUAUAUAUAUAUAUAUAAAAGUUAAAUGACGACGUGAAAAUCGUGUGUAUACUUUGCUCAAAGAUACCGCUUGGGCUAAAACAUGUCAACGCAUUGAAUCUGAGAUUAUUCGGCCUACCCCUCAGCUAGUGACCACAUGAAAGAAAUGACCCGAGUUAGUCAUGAUAUAUUGUCUCUUACAAAAAAAAAAAAAAUGAUCUUCAAAAGAAAUAAUUUUGAUUUUUUGGCCUUGUUUUUUAAUUUUUUCUCAUAAGACAGACGUUCAUGACAUUUCAAAUCAAUAAACUAGCACAAAACAUAUAGACAAAGGUUAAAGCUCAGGUAUGUUGCCCACACGGUAGAUGUUCAUGACAUUUCAAUACAGUAGAAUUAUUCAAUUAACCACAAGUUCUGUGUUAUAGACAAACAUAAGAACUUAUUUAGGACAUAUAGAAAUUUAAGACCACAUACUUUGGGCGACAAAAAUUUAAAAUCGUAUAUUUAGGAGUCAAAAAUUCAAGAUCACACACUUUGAGAACACUAGAUAUAAUUUCCUGCAUGAAGUUGGUUGCCCUAGUCAGUGAGGUUGAAUAUUUGCAAAUUAGCUUUAAACAAUGUAUAUAAAUAAGGAAAAAUUGUGUGGUGUGGAUAAAAAACUUCAAAAUUAUCUGUCAUGAUCAAUAUUUAAAUAAUUACGGUACAUGGCUGCGAUUUUUUAGUUAUUUUUAAUACUAGUCCUUAUUUUAAGUUAUUUUUCCUCACCUGAUUGACUUACUUUUUUCUCUAAUCUCUCUCGCCUAAUUAAAAGCAAAGAUUUCUCUCUCUCCUAAAAAUAGCAUUGUUACUUUUUCUUUAGGUAUUGUUGUAUUUUCUAACUUCUUCUUCAUCAAUUUUGUCUUUAAUUUUGGUACAAUUUCUCCAUUCUUGCAGUGUUGAUUAGGGUUUUAAGUAAUUGUUAUAACUAAAUCAAAUGAAUGAGAACACUUAAUUUAAGGGCAUUUUUUCAUUUAUGUCUUUAUAUCUGCAUAUGAAUGUAUUGGGUGUGUGUUUUUUUAUGUAUAUAUGAAUAUUUUUGUAUACCUAUGUAUAUACAAGUUUGUUCUGUUUUGAUACACAUAUACAUAUUUAUAUACAUUAGUUAUGUGUUGGUUCGUGUAUACAUUAUGAUUGUUAACCGGGCCGGUUCGGUUCAGAGCGGCACCGACCCACAAAAAUUAAUCAGUUUUGGACCAGGUCCGGUAACGAAUUAGUAUUAACGGACCGGUCCGGGCUCAAACAGUAAAUUUUGCUCAAAUGGACCAGAAUCGGUCCACUUAAGAAUUAUCCGGUUUUGAUCGGUCAAAACCGGUCAAUUUUUAAAAAAAUAAAUAAAUUCAUAUUUUCAUAUAUUUUUCAAUAUAUACACACCUAUAUAUAUUUUAAAAACGUUAAACAAUAUAUGUACAACAUAUAAACACUAAAUAUACUACUUUAGAAAACAUAUACACACUUAUAUUUUAAAUAGAUAGUAGUUUAGAUUCUAUAGGAAAUAUAUGCACAUAUAUACGUACAAUACAAUAUAUACUACUUUAAACAAUAUACAUACAACAUAUAUACACUAAAUAUAUAUUACUUUAUAAAACAUAUACACAUGUAUACUUUAAAUAGAAACUAGUUUAGAUUCUCUAGGAAAUAUAUGCACAUAUAUACGUACAAUACAAUAUAUAUACUACUUUAAAUAAUAUACAUACAACAUAUAUACACUAAAUAUACUGCUUUAAAAAAUAUAUACACAUGUAUACUUUAAAUAGAUACUAGUUUAGAUUCUAUAGGAAAUAUAUGCACAUAUAUACGUACAAUACAAUAUAUAUACUACUUUAAAUAAUAUACAUACAACAUAUAUACACUAAAUAUAUACUACUUUAGAAAACAUAUACACAUGUAUACUUUAAAUAGGUACUAGUUUAGAUUCUAUGGGAAAUAUAUGAAUAUAUAUAAUUACAAUAUAUACAUUACACAUAAUACUAAUUUAGAAACAUAUACACAUGUAUACAUUAAAUAUAUACUAUUUUAGUCUAUAGAUAAUAUAACACAUACAUGUAGAAUAUAUAUUACUUUAAAUACCACUUGAAAUAAUAUACAUACAACAUAUAUACACUAUAUAUAUACUACUUUAGAAUUUAUAGAAAAUAUAUACACAUAUAUGUAGAAUAUAUACUACUUUAAAUACCACUUGAAAGUUGAAACAUGUAUACAUUGCAUAUUAUAGUACUUUAGAAAACACAUAUAUACAUACAAGAUUACAAUGUAUGCUACUUAAUAUAAUAAUAAUUGAAGUUUUGAAUAUAUAUUCAUUAUAUAUUUUCAUUAUAUUUGAACUUAAAAGAUAUUUAUUUUUUCAUUAUGUGUAUAUAUGUUUGCUAUGUUUAUUACUUGGUGUAAAGUUUGAUAGUAAUAUAUUAAAAGUAUUUAAUUCAAACUAGAACUUCAAUUUAAAUUAAAAACAUAUACACAUUAACAUAUAUACAUUACAUAUUAUAUUACUUUAGAAACUUAUACACAUUAAAUAUAUAUUGUUUUAAUCUAUAGAAAAUAUACAGACAUAUAUGUAGAAUAUAUACUACUUAAAAUACCACUUGAAACAAUAUACAUACAACAUAUAUAGUUAUAUACACACUAUAUAUAUAUAUUGCUUUAAAUACCACUUGUGUAUAUGUGUGUAUAUAUGUUUGUUAUAUAAACUGCUUUAAAUACCACUUGUGUAUAUGUGUGUGUAUAUAUGUUUGUUAUGUUUAUUACUUAGUGUAAAGUUUGAUAGUAAUAUAUUAAAAGUAUUUAAUUUAAACUGGAAAUUCAAUUUAAAUGAAAAAAUUACAAAGUAAGGAGUGAAUGAAUGUUGUAUUUUAUUGAUUGAAAAAUGAUCCAAAACUUAUAAUUUACAUGAAUGAAAAAUCUACAAAUUUUGCAUCACUUUUUCCAACUCGUUUAUGUUAAUAUUAACGGAAAUUGCCAUAGGAUAGUCAAAAUCAAUGGGGGGGAAUAUCAUGCCUUAGACUUGAUUGUGCUGAGUUCUCCCUUGAAGUCAAAAUUUCUUUAAUAUUCUGGUCGUCUUUCGGCUCCACCUUCAUUCAUUGGUUUCCUCGUUCCACUAUAAUCCAAUCUCUAAGGCAAACUAGAACAUUCAUAGAUUGCUUUUCAAUGAGUGUCAGUUGUCUCCAAGCUGUUGUCGUCUUUGACUAAAAGCGUUCUCCGAUGCAACGAUUGACAUUGGAACAUUCAAUAUAUCUCUAGCUAAUCUUGAAAGCACAGGAUAUUGUCUUUCAUUAUUCUUCCAUCAAUCCAAUGCGUUGAUCAUUGCUUUAUGAUCCUCUAUCGAUUGUCGAACAUAAUACUUAAGCUCUUCCAGAUAAUUUGUGUUGUAUGUCGAAGGAGAAACCCUGUCCCAAAUAUUUAAAUCAUAAAAGUAAUCAGGAAAACCACUAUGUGCCGGCCUUUUAAAAGAUGAUGGCUCCUCAAGAGCUUGAGGAGGGACAGUUGGAGUGAUAUUUGUCGGUACAACUACAUUAAGUAAAUCGGCACAAUGGUUAUAUAAUGCUUUUAUGUAAAUGUUCGCAUCACUUAUAGCCGUAAACAAAUCUGAUUGUUCUUCAGGCUUUAUCUCUAAGAAAUUAUAAAUAAUAGAACUAAAGUGGCACAUAGUAUUAUAUUUCAUAUAUGAAUUUAGUAUAGUACCAACCAAGUAAAUUGAAGGAAGUGGAUAAAAAUACUUUCUAAAUUUAGCAAACAUAGCACCAACAACUUCUUUGUAACCUUCUCUAUUCUUAUAUUUUUUAAGCAAACAAGAAAUGUUGGCUAAAUGAGCUAAAAUAUUACAAACAACAGGAUAAUAAGUACCGAAAAAUUCAACCGUAUCUGUAUAAAAUUUUUCCAAAAAUUUAAAAAGAUCAUCAUCAUUGCAGCCCAAUCAGAAUCAUGUAGCAUACACUCGGGAAAAGAACCACAAAAUUGAUUAAAAGUCAUUGUAAUGGAAACUUUAUAAGCAAGACAAGUUUUUAAAUAAGUAUAAGUAGCAUUCCAUCUAAUAUCACAUUCUUCAGACAUUAAUAUCGGUCUAAGUCCAUUUUGUUGACAUUUAACUUUAAAUUCUCUCACUCUACCUCUUCAAUUAUUUCAUUGAAUAAAGCCAACAGCAAGCCGGACCUUUUCAAUAUAAAACUUACAAAAUUGAAGACCAUCUUUUACAAUUAAAUUAUAUAUAUGACAAGCACUUCCUAAGCAUUUCCUACUGCGGGUGUCUCGCCAAUAUUUUCAUCAUCUUCAUCUAAAUUAACCGCAUGUCCGCAUCUAUUUCAUUUUCUUCUUCUAUACCAUAAUUUUUCUGAGCUUUUGCAUAAUCCAUAUCAUGAGCACCUACACCUAUUUCUUCCUCAAAAGGUUGACUAACAGAUAACGGAGGCACACAGGUAUAUCUAUUACUUGAACUACCUCUAUCGGAAUCGCCACCAAUUCAUUUUUUACGACCACUGCCACUUCCAGAAAAAAAUAUUUUGACACUUUUACCGAGGUUUCUUAUUUUAUCCAAAUUAAAAAAUAAACUAAAAAAUACUCCAAAUACACACAAGACAUAAAAAAAAAAAAUUCAACAAUUAAUACACUAAUUAAAAAUUAAAGGUAAGAGAUGGAACGACAAUACCAAAUUUUGAAAGUAUCCGAAAGUUGAGACUUUACAAAACUUUCACUUGUAUUUGUAAUUGCAAAAUUUAAAAAUAAAAUUGAGCACUUUAAGAGAUAAUUAGAAUAUUUGAGAGAGAAGAUUUGUGUGAAUAAUGAAUUUUGAAUUGGGGGUAUUUAUAGAAAAAAAAUAGCCAAUUGGUCGUUGGGGUGCAAACGGUUAUAAUGUCGUUGGCCCAGCGGUCCAAUUUGGCUUUUGGGGCCCAAACGGCUAAAUGUCAUUUAAGAAAAAAAAAUGUUACCGGGUCGGGUACUCAGUGGGCCUGGUCCGAGUUUGUAUCGGAUCUGGCUUACCGGCAGAGGUGAACCCAGGAUUUGAAGAGUGCGGGUGCAGCUUUAUCAUAACAUAAGCGUUCGAGAAUUUUUCACUGGCGGCUGAGGAAUAGUAUCGUGAAGGCUUAAGCAAUGACAAAAAUAUAAAUAUAUAGGCCAAAUAUGGGUUUUAGGGUAAUAUAUAAACCUUAACUCCUUAUAGAUAGAUUAGUGCAUUUAUAAUUUAAUAUUACCAAACUUUAAUUAAAAAAAAAAAACUAAAAAACGAAAGAAAGAGAUGUAUAACUGUUACCAUCAAAUGGAGAAUUGAAAUUGCUCCUUGUAACCUUCUAAAUUCAAGUUUCCACUUUUCAGGAAGUUUGGCUUUUGGAGAAAUUUGGGAAAUAUCGAAUAGGGCUUGGGGGAAAUACGGAGCUUGGGAAUUAGGAUUGGGGAAUAUCUAUUUUCUAGAUAUAAAUUAAGGGUGGUAUGGGCCAGCUGAGGUGGUUGCCUAGCAAGUGGCAAUUAAAAUGUUGUAAAUGAAAAAAAAGAGGCAUUCAUCAGGAAUCAAACCCGCAACAUUGAGACCCGAAGGAUGCUAGCAUUUGAGUUCCGGACCAAUGCACUCAAACAUAUUUGGUUAUUAAGGGUGCACAAUUAAAUAUAUUAACUCUUUAUUAGGAUAUCUAUACAUAUAUAUACAAUUUUUUAAAAAUAUUACCGGGUGCACGUGCACCCUCGCGUAACCAUGUGGGUCCACCUCUGCUUACCGGGCCAGUCAACGUGGAUGGCCCAGCCUGAGACCGACAACCCUAUAGCCUGUGGGCUCACCGGACCGAGUAAAUGGGCCGGGCUAAACGAGCUGGAACGGGCCACCCUAGCGCGUUUGACAGGUUUAGUAUACAUUAUGCACAUACACAUGUCAUAUGUGUAUGCAUCUUUUAUGUGUUACAAAUUAGAAUGGGCAUCAACGUAUAAAUGAAACUCAAAUUCGUUCACACAUAUAAUCUUCGAAAUUUAGGUUUUAAUGCUCAAUAACAAUGAGGAAUGUUGAAUAGAAUAAAUGAAGUGAAUCACUCUCCUUUUUUUUUUUUUAAUCUCUAAAUGUAACUAAAAUAAUAAUAAAAUGUACUCCCUCCGUCCCAUUUUACUUGUCCCAAAUUGGAAUGGCACAGCUAUUACGAAAAAUAAUAAAUAAUAUCACUAGUUUGCCAUAGUACCCCUAUUAAAUGAUGUUUACAUUUUAAUUUAAAGAAAAAAUAAUUAGUGCAAAGGGUAAAAUAUGGAAAAAAAAAUUAUCUUAUCUUGAUAAGUAAAAAAGGACAAGUAAAUAGGACACCAGAUUAGGAAAUUUAGGACGGGUAAAAUGGGACGGAGGGAGUAUUAAUUAAUAUUUUUAUAUUAGGAUUCUAAAUAAAUUUUGAUCACUAAUUGAAAUAUAUGAAAUGUAAUUAUUAAAAUUUAGAUUAAGAAGUUAGUUAAAAGAAAUCUAAGUUAGCUAUACUUGAAAUUUAAGAAAACCAAAAAAUGAAAAAGAUUUCUUGAAAAAUGACUUAACAGCUGUAAAAUGGGUUGGGCCACAAAUCCAAUGCUUCGUUUAAGUAGGGUUGGGCUAAGAUAUCUUUAGCCCGUUUGAAAGUGAGACUCAAUAGCCUAAACCUCUCUUGGCCCGCUAGUCUCAAAGAUUGGGCCGGGGCCAGCACGUAAGGCAAAUAAUUUUUAUUUUUUUUAAUUAAGAUAUUAAAGGAAAACGGACAAAAAUUAAUGAACUAACUACUACUAUUUGGGAGUAAAUUGAGUAACUUACAUAAAUCCCGGAUAGUUUCACCAAUAUUACAUAAAAUCCCGCAUAAUUUGCUAAUUAUAUCUUAUCCCAAAAUUUUGAAUUGUGAUACAUAUGUUAAGCAGUGAUACAUAUGGACUAGUGAUGCAUAUGUAUAUGUAUCACUAGUAUAUACAUAUGUAUACAAUAGUGAUACAUAUAGCAUCUGUUUCACUAGUAAAUAUGAAUUCAGGAUUUCAUGUAAUUUUUUAAAAUAUUAAGGGAUAUUGUGUAAUAUGGUGUCUUAAAUAUGGGAUUUGUGUAAUUUUUUCUAAAUUAGAAGUAAGGGCUUCCUUUGGUUGAAACCAAGUUAUGAAUUGUUAUUCUGGUGAACCAAACACGCGACUAAAAUAUGCCAAAAGUUAAAAAAAUAAUGAAAAUAUGCCAUUAAAUUGAAUAGUGACAAAAGUAGGUUUGGCGCACAAAAAAAGUGCACCAUCCUUUCUUUUUUUAACUGUUUGACGGAAGUUAAAAUUGAGGGGUGCACUUUUGUUUGUGCACCAUUUAUUUUUUUGUAGUGCACUUUUUUUGUGCACAAUAUGAAAAAAAUAUGUGGUGUAUUUUUUUUUAUGCACCAUUCAUUUUUUAUUAUAUGGUACACUAAUUUUGUGCACUAUAUGAAAAAAAACAUGUGAUGCACAAAAAAGUGCACCAUCCAUUAUGUAAAAAUAUAUAAUGUACUAUUUUUGUGCACCAUUCAUUUAUUUCUAUAUGAUGCACAAUUUUUAUGCACCAUCUAUUUUUUUUUUAAUUAUGUGCACUAUAUGAAGAAUAAUAUAUGGUGCACUAUUUUUGUGCACCAUCCAUUUAUUUUCACAUUAUGCAAAAAAUUAUUGCACUAUAUUUUUUUUUUAUCAUAUAUGAACAUAAUUAGUGCAUUAUAUAUUUUCUUUCAUAUAUUGCAAAAAAUAGUGUACUAUUAAUUAUUUUUGAUAUAGUGGACUUAUUUUGUAUAUUAUCCAUUCUAUUUUAUUUGUUUAUUUAAUAUAUUACAUUAUUUAAAUAAUUUUUUUUAAUAUAUAGUUAUUUAAGUGUACUUUUAUUUUUUCUUUAUUUAUUUUAUAUAACACUAUUUAUUGCACUUUUUUUAUUUAGUACUUAUUAAUUUAUUUCAUAUAGUGCAAUAAUUUUUUUGGUCAUAUAUUGUUCUAAAAUUUGAAUUUGUUUUUUUAAUUUUGUCAUAUGUUGCACUAUUUUAUUGUAAUGUCUAUUAUUUUUCAUGUAGUGCAUCCGAAUAGUUACUAUCUAGCAUUUUGGUGCAUUAUCUACAUUUUUCAUAUAACAUCGUAAAUUUUUAAUUUUGUAUAUACUAAAUUGACAUUUUCUUUUAUUGUAUAUAUUAAAUUUGCACUUUAUUUAUAAAUUUUUUUACACAACGCACUAAAUUUGUGCACUGUUUAAUAUUUUUAUAUAACAGAUAGUGAUCUUAUAUAGGGUUGUGCAAAAAUUGAACCUACCGAUAAGUUGAACCUAUAAAAAUGUUAUUGGUUUAUUAUUAUUGGGUUAAUGAUUUUUUAAUGAUUUUAUAAAAAAAAUUAUUGGGUUAUUGGUUCGAUUCGAUUUUUUCUUAUUGGGUUAUUGGGUAAACCGAUAACCCAAUAAGAACACACACACACACACACACAUAUAUAUAUGACUUAUUAGAUAUUUCUCUUAAUUUCUCUUUAAUCUCUACAAAUUAAGAAACUUAUUUUUUAAAUUACACAAACUCUUAAUUUCUCCUAACAACAUUUAGUUCAAACUUGAAGAUUCUUGUAAAUUAAAACACAUUAUGUAGGUUUUUUGUGUGCACUAAGAUUCGAUUAUUUUUCAUGUUAGUUACUACUAUUUCUAUUUUAUGAGUAUUUUCUUAUCGGUUAAAUCAAAAAUCGAACCGUUAAGGACUAAAAAUUGAUAAACCGAUAAAAAAUAUCUUAUUGGUUUGGUUAUUGGUUUAGCAUAUUUAAAAAUCAAAAAUCGAUAAAUCGAACCGGUAAUAGGUAAAACUGAAUCGAACCGAUUGAUGCACACCCCUAAUCUUAUAGGCUGCAACAGAUAACCUACAACAGAUUAGUGAUCUGUUUUUAUUGUUUCUAACAAAUUACUCAUCCGCUGCAACGAGUUGGUUAUGUGCGGCAACGGAUAACCUACCUGGUGUAACAAAUAAGUGAUCUGUUUUUAUUAUUUUCAAUGGAUUACUCAUUCGCUGCAACAGGUUGGUUAUAUGCUGCAAUAGAUAACCUACCUGGUUCAACAGAUUAGUGAUCUGUUUUUAUUAUUUUCAACGGAUUACACAUCCGCUGCAACAGAUUGGUUAUAUACCGCAACAGAUGUGUGGCCUAUUUAUUGUUUCCAACAAAUUGAUCAUCAGCUGUAACAGGUUGGUCAUAUACUGCAAUAGAUAAUGCACAAAUAUUAUGGACUAUCUGUUAUAUAAAAAUCUUAAAUAGUGCACAAAUUUAGUGCACUGUGUAAAAAAAAUUAUAAACAAAGUGCAAAUUUAAUAUAUACAAUAAAAGAAAAUGUCAAUUUAGUAUAUACAAAAUAAAAAAUUUAUAAUAUUGUAUGAAAAAUGUAGAUAUUGUACCAAAAUACUAGAUAGUGCACUAAAUGAAAAUAAUAGAUACUAAACUAAAACAGUGCAACAUAUGACAAAAUAAAAAAAAUAAAUCAAAUUUUAGAACAAUAUAUGACAAAAAAAAAAAGUGCACUAUAUGAAAUAAAUUAAAUAAUAGAUAUAAACAAAGUGCAAUAAAUAGUGUUAUAUAUAAUAAAUAAAUAAAAAGUACAUUCAAAUCACUAUAUUAAAAAAAGUACAUUUAAAUAAUGCAAUAUAUGAAAUAAAUAAAUAAAAUAGAAUGGAUAAUGCACAAAAUAAGUGCACUAUGUAAAAUAUAAUUAAUAUUGCACUAUUUUUUUGCAAUAUAUGAAAAACAAAAUAGAUAGUGCACUAAUUAUGUUCACAUAUGAAAAAAAAAUAUAUGAUGUAAGAAUUUUCUGCAUAAUAUGAAAAAUAAAUGGAUGGUGAACAAAAAUAGUGCACCAUAUAUAUUUUUUUUUUCAUAUAGUGCACAUAAUUGAAAAAAAUAGAUGGUGCAUAUUUUUUUCAUAUAGAAAUAAAUGAGUGGAGCACAAAAAUAAUACACCAUAUAUUUUUAUCAUAAUGGAUGGUGCACUUUUUUUAGUGCACCAUAUAUAUUUUUUUCAUAUAGUGCACCAUAUAGAAAAAAAAAUGAAUGGUGCACAAAAAAAGUGCACCAUCCAACUUUAACUUCCGUUAGUCAAGCCAAUAAAAAAAGAAAGGAUGGUGCACUUUUCUUGUGCACCAAGCCUACUUUUAUCACUCUUCAAUUUGAUGGCAUGUUUUCGUCACUUUUUUUUAUUUUUGGGCAUAUUUUGGUCGUGUGUUAUAUUCCGAUCUUGAUGCGGGAUAGUAAUAACUACAAUCUCAGAAUAAAUAAUUCGAGGAUAAGUUAUCCCUCAAUUUUAUUUACUGCCAAACAUGAGAUAAACUAAUCAUAGAAUUCAUCCCAUGAUUAGUUAUACUUAUCUCUAAUACUAAACGAGUCCUAAGAGUUUUACUUUUUCAGUCUUAAAUAUAAUACUCUUACAUAUGAUUAAUUUCUUGUGGGUAUGACUUGGAUCAAAAAACAAAUACAAUAGUAAUUUUCAUCAAUACUUUUGAAUUGAUUUGGGUUUUUGUAAUGUGAGUUCUCACAUCUUAACUUCACAUGCAUGGGAUAUCACACUCUCACUUCUCUCAACCUGUCUGCCAUGAAGGUCAUCUUACCUUGCCACAUAUAACAUCGUUCUCAGUCAUAUCUCUUAUAUUAUAUUCAUAUUUGUUUGAGCAUCCUCGUAUCUAUUACGUUCUUCUUCUAAAUGUACACGUUUUGGGAUGAACAACACUUUAUCCCAUACAAAAAAAUUGAUCUAAUCGUCACUAGCUCUGUAGAACUUAUCUUUAAACAUAAUCGACAUGUUCUUGUUGCAUAAUAUCUAAGGGACGAACCUUUAUCUCAUCCACUAGGCUCUAAUGUGAAGUGUGGCUUCAUCGUCGAUCUCUCUGUUCUUGACAUAUUGACUCGAGAUGCUUAAAACUUCCUCAUUGAAAUAUAACUCGUGCAUUAAAAUCCGCUUCCACAUCUGCACCAUUUGUUGUGUUGUUGAACUUGUACUUCAUGUACUUUAUUUUAGUUAUACUUAACUUGGAACAUUUAGUCUUUAAGGUCUUAUAUCCAAAUUCCUAGACUAUUGUUAACUCCUCUACAUGUCUCAUUCAUCCAUAUUAUAUUAUUUGCGAAUAAAAUAUGGGUUAACAACAUAAAUUCCAAUACUUUGCUACCUAAUUACCCUCUCUCUCAAUAUUUAUAUUAAUUACUUAAUAUCCCGGAUAUGAUACAUAAGUUUGGUCCGAAUACAUAAUCUACAGAUACAUAACUACCAAACUAAUUGACUAUAAAAAAGAAAAAUAACAACAAAGAUUAAAUAAUGGAGCAAUUAAUGUGAUUCUAAUUGUGUAAGUAUAUCUCUUUAAUUCUUCCAUCACAAGUCUUUUAUCUUUCCCUUUAUACAGCAAAGUUUCCUCCUUUAAUCAUUCAAUAGUUGUAACAAUAAUUAAAAAAAAAAAUUAAAUUCCUAAAAUAAUUCAGAGAAUUGAAAAAACAGAAGAAAAAAACUGACCAUCCUUUAGGAGAACCAUACAAAAGGGCAGUUCACGUUUAAAAGCUUUGAUUUUUCUGAGUUCUUCUAAAGCAACAAUAAAUUGAUUGAGCUUUGUUAAUUUGUUGGAGAUGUCAUCCAUGGCAGAAACUUCAGUUAAAACAUCUGAAAUUAUUUUUGAACAUAAAUAAAGUUCAAAUAAAGCUGAAUGUAUCGGAUGAAAAAAAUAAUAUAAAUCAACUUCGACAUUUACUAUGUAUCAGAAGUAAUGAUAUAUCUCAUACUUAUGUAUCAUACUCAUAAUGUUUAAUGUAUCAGGUGUAAAACAAACUAAAACUCACAUACAAUUUUCAGAAUGUAUCAUAUAAAUCUAAAAUCUCGACAAAAUUAUCUCUAUGUAUCAUAAUAAGUAUAUUACAUGUAUCAAGAAUAAAAUUGAACCAUAAUCACGUAUAUAUUGUAUUAUGUAUCAUAACGCAUUAGCCUUGAAUCUAUGUAUCAGAUGUGGUAUAUUAAAUGUAUCAGAUGUAGUAUAUUGAAUGUAUCAUAUCUAUAAAGAGACAAAAAUCACAUGUAAAAAUUUAUGAUGUAUCAGAACGCGUGCAUUGUCAUAAAAAAUAAUUUUUUGUAACUUGCUUCUUCCUCUUUACAGAUGCAAUAAUCGAUAACUUCUUUGUCAUAACCAGGUUAUUUUGAUAUUUCAAUCGAUUUUCACUUAAAUUAAUGUCUUUCAUAUCAUAAUGAAAUGGUGGGAAUUAAAAAAGAAAGUUAAUGGUUGAUAUAUUUGCAUCAUCGAAUAUUUGGAUCGAUUAUUGCUAUCUUGCGCGUUGCACUGAUGGACUUAUUGAUGUUAUUCAUGGACUACUGGUAUUUCCAUUUCCAACAAUUACUUCACUCAACAUGAUAAUGAAAUUGUGGAAAUUUAAAAAGAAAGUUAAUGGUAAAAAUAUGAAGUUGUUAGAUUUAAUUUAGUAGAUGAGAACAUGAUGGAAAUUCAAAAGAAAGUUAAUGGAAAUUAUAACUUGAAUAUUGAAGUAGAAGAUGAAGAUGAGAACAUGGUGAAAAUUCAAAAUGAGUGAGUUGAGAAAAUUGUGGGAUGUAUUUUCUGAUUUUUAGGCUUGAUUUGUGGCACAAUAAGGGGUUGUGGGUGGGUUUUUUAAAUGUAUCAAAAAAGAGGCAACUAUUUUGAGCAAAAAUGAAUUUUUGUAAUUAGUUUGGUUGGAUAAAAUUUUAAGUAAUAAUAAAAAUUUAAGGUGUGGUUAUAAGGAAUUUAUCCAUCAAAUAUACCAUGACACCUCCCUUUAAUAUGACAUGCCAAUUUGUCCAUCAUCAAGACAUAGGAACUGAUCAAUGUCUGACACUUAGUGCAAUCCCAUCACGUUCAAUAAGGAGUCAUUUGGUAGAGUGUAUAAGAAUAAUGCAAAAUAUGGUGUAUUAGUAAUGCUUGUAUUAGUAAUGGUUGUAUUAGUUAUGCUUGCUUUAGUUAUGUUUGUAUUUUUUUUAUGUAGUGUUUGGUACGAUAUAUUAAAAAAAAACAUGAAUUAAAUUUUUUUUCUUUACAUAAUACCCUCAAUAUAUUUGUUGGAAAGGAUGCAAAAUUUUUUUGAGGGGUAAUAGGGUCUUUAAGCAUGUUAAUGCAUGCAUUAGAUCCAUUACAUUACUAAUGCCAUGGAUUUUGAGGUAUUAGUAAUACACACCUCAAUACACAAUAGAGUGUAUAAUUAAUGCUUGCAUUAGUUAUACAUAGGGUAAAAAGGUAUACCAAACAAGGUACUACUAAUACACAUUAAAAUAAUGCAAAAUAUGGUUUAUUAAUAAUGCUUGUAUUAGUUAUGCUUGCAUUAAUUAUACUUGUAUUUUUCUUAUGCAGUAUUUGGUUCGAUGUAUUAAAAAAAACAUGAAUUACAUAAUUUCUAAAAAAAAAAAACUUUUACAUAAUAUCCUCAAUAUAUAUGUUGGAAAAGAUGCGGAAAUUUUUUUAAGGAGUAAUAGGGUCUUUAAGUAUGUUAAUGUAUGCAUUAGAUUCAUUGCAUUACUAAUGCCAUGAAUUUUGAGGUGUUAAUACACACCUCAAUACACAAUGGAGUGUAUAACUAAUGCUUGCAUUAGUUAUAGAUAGGGUAAAAAAGUAUACCAAAUAAGGUACUACUAAUACACAUUAAGCUAAUGAAUGCAUUAACAUUUUAAUUGUAUGUUAUGAGUGUUAUGAGUCAUGUUCACUAUCUUACCCCGAGUCUUGUCUUCAUUGUACGUGUACUUAAUUGCUCUAUUGUAAGUAAUGAGCACACCUCUGAACUUCGAAUAUUUCUGAAUGACCUCCCUAAGGAUUUUGUAGUAAGCUCCUUCUAAGUUAAUGAACACCAUAAGUAAGUCUCUCUUAUUGUCCCUAUACUGUUCCAACGAUCUCCUUGUAAAAAUGUGCAUUCAAUAGUUGAUCGUUGUGACAUUAAUCUGAAUUGGUAUUCAAAGAUCGGCACAAGCCUCCUUAUACCUCCUCUCAACUAUUCUUUUCGAAAUGUUCACGGUAAAACUUACUAUUUUGAUACUCCCAUUGUUGUUACAAUUCUUGUGGUUCACGCAAAAAUUGUUUAUGAUAUCAAAUAUCGGUCACAUAACCACUUAUAAUUGGCAAAGGACAUAUGCUAAUGAAUUUUAAGUGAUUUUAUGACUGGUAUUUGAAAAAAUCUCAAUUAAUUGUCAGAAAAUUUAUACAAUGCAACUAACUUUAUUGAAUAAUGUGAAGUAAGCUGAAGGUUUUGUAAUGUAUCAAAAUCAGCACAAUAGGCUUUUUCUUUCAGAAAUUUUCCAAUUCAAACAAAAUGCAGAUUAUUUCAAGAAGGCAAUUUUGAAAAAUAUUUCCAGUUCCUUUAAAUUAUACUCCUAUAAACCGCCGGAGUUGAAAUAGUAAAAAACACAAUUAAGCGGACAAGUUCCUUUUCAGUUUUCCCGCCCACAAAGAAAACUAAAAUUCAAGUGCGCUUCACACGGAUCGCCGAACUUUAAAAAUCGUCGAUCCGCGAAAACCAUAGUCAGCGAAUCACAGAUAACCACGUGGAUUCUAACUAUUUGCAAUAGCCAAUAUUGAUCGUCCAUUCUCCAAUUUCAUCGACGGCUCACAAUCACGGUCCUCCUAAGCUGAAACUAACCAAUCAAAUAACAGAUCCAAAAUCCUAUAUAAAUCUCAUUCUCCAUUCAACUUCCUGGUCACUCUCUCUCAUUCACUUUACCAAAGCAAAAACAAAAAAUUUCUAUUUACCUCUCUUUGUUAGUUCUGAGCAAUGGCACCAAAAGCAACAGGGAAAAAGCCAGCUGAGAAGAAGCCAGUAGAGGAGAAGAAGGCCGAGGGAGGUCCUGCUGAGAAGAAGCCCAAGGCCGGGGAGAAGCUCCCGAAGGAGGCCANNNNNNNNNNNNNNNNNNNNNNNNNNNNNNNNNNNNNNNNNNNACAAGAUCUACAUCUUCAAGGUGCUGAAGCAGGUGCAUCCAGAUAUCGGCAUUUCCAGCAAAUCAAUGGGUAUAAUGAACAGUUUCAUUAAUGAUAUAUUUGAGAAGCUUGCUCAGGAAUCAUCUAGAUUGGCUAGGAUCAACAAGAAGCCUACUAUCACUUCCAGGGAAAUUCAGACUGCUGUGAGACUUGUGUUGCCUGGUGAAUUGGCUAAGCACGCUGUUUCUGAAGGGACCAAGGCUGUUACCAAGUUCACUAGCUCUUAGGCUUUAAUUUGGGGAUCUUUUGGGGGUGUUUUGGGUUUAUGUAAAGGCUGGUAGUUAUUUUUGAUGUCUGGUAUGUAAUCACUUCAAAUGAUUCUGUGUUUGAUCUUGUUUUAGUUUUGUUAUAUUCUUGUGAAGCUAUUUUGGUGUUAUAUGUUUCUUCAGUUGGAAUGUGUAAGCAGAACAUGCGUGUAGUUUAUUGAUUUCAGCAAGAUCACCUCUUCAGUGGUAAUUUCAGAGAAAUGUCAAAAUUUACCAAAAGUGUCUCACCAUAAUGCCUUUAACAUUUCCAAAUAAUAUGCCUUAAUUUUUCUAUUAUUGAUUGUGUAAUUAGAAUUUGAUAUUGUAAAUGUUUAUGUGGACAGUAAUUAAUUUAUGGAGGAUUCAAAUUGGUGAUAUAUACUCGAUAGAGAGCAUACCAACGAUAUUAAGUUGCCCUAUAAUUUUUUUGUAGAUUACAGAUCAUUUAUUUCUACUUUGAAGUGCAAAUCAUGUUUGAAUGAUGGUUCUUUCCUCGUUAUUCAACUAGUCUUCUUUGUUUUCCUCAUUUAUGCUUUCAGAAUGCUUUAACUUAAUGACAAGUGUUUGAGUAUGUUGAAUGUUGAUUGUGUAUCAAUCUUUAAAUUUUUUUUUUAACCUUAAUCAGCCAACUACUUUGAAAAGUGAUUGAAGUUUGCAAAUAAUGACUUACUCCCUUCACCACAUGUGAAUAUAGCAGACCAAAAUGAGGCACUUGGGCCUGGGCCUGGGAAUGUUUAUCUGGGAUCAAUUGAUUAAACAAUCCAACACAAUGUUAUUGUUGGGCCUGUGUUGAGAUACAAGUGUCAAAUAGUUAAUUGUACAAGUGAAAAUAUUGUUGUUUGUUUGAGGAUUAAGGCAGGGUAAUUGUGAUUAUAAUUAAAUAAACAAUACACCACUCAUUCCCAAAACUCUCCCUGUAUCCUCUUACUGUUGUAAUGGCUUAUAUCAAUUUGGGUGUUUAUCGUUAUCAUUGAUAUUACUGUUCGGGAUAAUUAUUGUUAAAUCUUGUCGUAGUAGUCACUACACCACAUCUCAAGGCAACAUGUUAUAUUUGUUGUUACAAACUUUUAACUUAUAGAUUCUAAGUCGUAUUUAGUGGAAAGUUCAGUUGAAAAAAUGCACUUGGGUGAUUAUCUAUUUGUAGCCUAUCGAAUUGAGCUUAUUCGUAGUAAGUGAGUCCAUGAAGUAAGUUACGAGGAGUUUAGGAGCAGAGAAUUUGAAGUCUAUGAGGAGUGGUGUGGAGGCAACUGAACGAAGAAGAGAAAAAGUUCAGUGUAAUGAAAGCGACAAUCGUGUGAGAGCAAUUCAUUGUUGCAGCACUAUAUAAUAAAAGCUCUAGUGCGUUUCAGAAUCAUUUGACUGUGGAAGUAGUCCUGAAAACUGGAGGAUUUGUUUAAUCUGGGAAGUAGUUAACUAUCCUUUAAAAAAAAAAAUAUUACUUUUUAAGGCCAUUUCUUUAUGCAAGCAUUACAUGUAGUGUGUGUAAAGUAAAUUUCACUGAUGAAUGAUGCACUCGAGUAGGAUCUCUUUAUGAAAUUCCAGUAGUUGUUUGUGAAUUGUGAUAUAUCCUUGAGAGUUGAAUCAAAUGUAGGUCUAAUCGCAAGUGGACAUCAAUCCAAAGAAAGGCACAAUUUGGAGUCUUAUGUUUAAUCCAAAGAGCAUAUAUUUGUCAAUUUGGUUUGAUGGAAUUGAGUUAUGAAUCACUUUUUGUGUUCUCUGACUUUCAAUCACACAUGUUCUCUUUGUAAUCAAUAAAAACGCUGUAAAAUGAUAUUAACAUAUAGGUGCGUCGCGUAACUAAAUUUGAAGAUGAAAAUGCAUGUUCGAAUAAAUAAUAGUGAGCUGUCCGAUUGAUGUAUAUCGUCAAAUCGAAACAAAAUCUUUUCCUUAUAGAAUUAGCUAAGCAUGCUGUUUCUGAAGAAUUAAGGCUGUUACUAAGUUCACCAGCUCUUUUGGGUUGUAAAGAAUGAUAGUUUUGGAUGUUUGAUACUGAUAGGCCUUGGUAACAUUACUGCAAAUGAAUCAAAGAUUUUCCCAGCUGAAUUUCUGCGCUGGAUCUCUUUCAGUUUUUAUUAUUUUCUUGCGAAACAAUUGGUGUUCUAUGUUUCUUCAUUUUGAAUUUGUAAACACAGCACAAGUUUAAAGUAUUACCUCCGCUUCAUUUUUUACCUGGCCCCUUACAGCCACCACUUCUCAGCGCAAGCUUUAGCAAUUAGAAUAAUUUAAUUUGGUUUUUGACAUCUGUUUUCUAGUUCUAUGUGUGUAAUAAAAUUAUUGCACGAAGCAGUAUUGCGUGAUUACAUACUUUACCUAAGGUGCGUGCUGAAAUUCAACAGAGGGGCGGGGAUGAAUUGGAAAUUUUCUGUGAGUCGAUUAUUGGCUUUUCACAGUCGACUUUCCUACAGAAUAAUACACUUCACAAAAUAGACUAGGUCCGAAAUAAUCAAGAUUCAAGGUAAUAAAUAAUCGAAUUUAAAGUAAAGUCACAAAUUUUAUCCUGGUUCGUAACAUCAAUGUAGUGCCUACUUCCAUUCACCUUGGGUUUCAGUAUUUCCUUAAUCGUUCAAUGUCGGGCUCGAGUACAAUUAUGGGAAACAAGUUUUGAAGACUUAUUUUGUUCUUCAGAUCUUGUGACACUGCUUCAGUUACGAAGUUGACUAGAUCCUACUCUUUAUACAACAAUUGUAAACUAAGAAUUACAGAGCUUCGUGAGACUAAGAUUAAGCCACUUUGUAACUCUUCUUUGAAGUUGCGUAACGUUGUGCAUCCUUAGUCUUCUUCUUUAAUAGUUUUCAACUGCUACUCUUUGUAAGGAAACCCAAGAGAUUUAUUCUCAAUCAAAGAUUUGAAUUGAUUCCUUGAUUGAGGAAAGUAGCCGUAUGAUAUGUCCAUAUCAGAUAUAUCCAUAUACGGCUUUUAUUCUCGUCCAUAUUAUAUAUGUCUGUCAUCUUUUCUUCUUUUUGGUCUUGUAGUGAUUGAUACUUUUGCAAGUUUGUUUGUGAUCUUUUCUUUCUUUUACUUCGUUGUGAUUGAUCUGAUCUGCCACGAUUCGGGAUCGGGAUCCUCUUUCCGUUUGUUUUUGUUUUGAUUGAUUCGCUUGGAUGCCGCGGAUCAUAAUUUGACCUCCUUCCAUUACUGGAGCCGGCUUCCUUACUUGCUUUCUUCAUCUUUCCAUCAUUAGAAGUUUUUCAAUAUCCUGCAAAGAUCUAUUCAUUAGUUUAUUAUUAUUAAAACGUAAACUUAGGAGGCUAACACAUGCCUCUUGGUGGUCCCUCGUCAUAUUUAAAUCAUGGGACCUUCUCUGAUUAGGUUGAUUAUGUUACAACUCAAUUAACAAUAUCAAAUUUUAUUUUUUUUGGUUUCCAUCCGGUAUACGGUAUCCAUAUUGGAGCUCGAUUAAUUCAAAUUCGCGCCAAGUAGAACCCCAUUCGGGAGAUAGCGCUCCCUUUUCAUGCCCAGAGCUCGAAAAGAAAAAGAUAUUCUCCAAAUAAUCUUAUGCAUUGUCUGAGAAUAUAGUCAUUUCCAGGGGGUAUAAAUUAAUAAAAUUCCUGCCAAUAUCUUUAUAGUGGUUUUAAGUGCUAUAUGAAUGAGAAAUGAAUUUCUGUCUUCGAAAAAGAUAAUAGAAGAAAAGAUAUCAUUUGAACAACUUCUUUUAUCUUGAAUGAGUUGCAAUAAAAGACUAGUGUCACGGGCCUAUUUGGCUCCAAAGCCCCAUAAAUGUUGAUCCGAACUUGUAAUUUGACCUUCCAAAGAUACCCUCACGUUGGCCUUGUCAAGAGACGUUGUGGAAAUCCCGUCGGGCUCCGAAAUGCACCCAAAACGUUCGGAAUUGUGUCCAAAACUGGAUGAAUUUAAUGGGUAGUGACGCGGGGCGUCACACUAGCCUCAUAUUUAAUAAUAGAUUUUCUGUAUAUUUGUUUUUCAGUCACAUACUUUGUGUGUUUCAUUCCGUCUUCAAGUUUGACAAAAUUGUUGGUUGUUUGAGGUAUCACUACGGUGUCGUUUGAUUGGGAAUAUAGUUAUAUUGGGAUUAGUUAUGUUGGGAUAAGUUAUGAUGGGAUAAGUUAUACUGGAAUUAGUUAUGCUGAGAUUAUUUUUUAUUAAGUGUUUGGUUUGUUGUUUUCAAAUUAAUAUGCAUGGUAUAAUUUCAAAGAAUAAAGUAUUUGAUUACCAAAAUACCCCUAUCUUAUUUAACUUCUUUUUUGUUUAUAUAUAUUUGUUUUCAAGCUUUAAAUAUUUAUUCUUAAAAAUAAAACUUCCAUCUUAUUUAGCUUAUUUUUUUUGUGUGUGCAUUUUCAUGUUUAUAUCGUGUGUAUUUUAAAAAUAAAUCUUUCAUCUUAUUUAACUUUAAUUUUUUUGCAUGUGCCUUCCCAUGAUUAUACUGUGUGCGUUUUAAAAAAAAUCUUACUACAACUUAUUUAGUUUGAAUUAAAAACUUCCAGCUUAAGUUUGUUAAAGUAAAAGAAGAUUUGUUGUUUAUGUCACUUCAUUUGAACACAUAUUACUCAUAUAAUAUAAAAUAUUAAAAUUCAUUUUAAUUGAUAUAUACAAUAUCAAUUUUCAAGUUAUUAAAAAACUAUUUAAUUUAAAAUAUGUAAUUGAACAAUAGAGUCGAUUGUGAAAUGAUAAUGUGUAUUAAAAUUAGACAAUGCCUUUGUACUUGUUAAAAUAUUUUAUAGAUUACUAGUGAAUAGUAAUUAUUAUUAUAAAAUCUACUUACUUUAAUUAAUCUUUUCAUUGUGUAGUAAGAACUUUUUGUGUUAUCAAUUCACAAAAAUAAUACUUGAAAGGAAAAAGUUGAUGUUGAAUUUCAUUUUUCUAUGCUUAAAAAAUUAUAGUACCUACAUUUUUUUGGAUGUAUAAAAAAUUAUAGUACCUUGUUUUGAUCCUUAUUAAUGUAUGAAUCUAACAUAUUUUAUUUUUUAAUUUGUUAAUUUUAUAUUUUGAUCCUUUAUAUAAGAAAAUAGCGUAUAAGUUUAUAAUGGGAUGAAAAAAAUGUAAAAUUUAAUUAAUAAUAGGUUAAUUUUUCUUAGUCAUAUAUUUCCUUCGUUUCAAAAUAAGAUAUUUUAGUCUUUUUAAUUUGUCAUAAAUAACACGUUUUAGAUAAUCAAGUAGAUAUCAAUAAUCUUUUUUCAAUUUCAAAAGCAAUAACUAGAGAUGAUGAAAAAGACUGGAAAAAUGUGUUUGUAAUGAAUUUGGGGGUAUUUUUGUCAUUUAUUUAUCCCGGAAUAAAUUAAGGUGGGAUAACUUAUACCACCAAAUAUGUGGUAUAACUUAUCCCGGGACUAUUAUUAAUCCCGGGAUAAGUUAUCCCAAGUAUUGCCAAACCAAACGAUGUAUUAAAAAGUUUAUCCCGAAAUUAUUAUUUUAUUUCGAGAUAACUUAUCUUAGUACCUCACACCAAACGGCCCCUACCGGUCUACUUCAACAUGUAUACUCUUUCUUAUCUUGGAGGUAGGGGUGUGCAUCGGUCGGUUCGGUUCGGUUUUACGUGUUAUUGGUUCGAUUUAUCGAUUUUUGAUUUUUAAAUAUGUAAAACCAAUGACCAACCAAUAAGAUAUUUUCUUAUCGGUUUCGGUUUAUCGGUUUUUGGUCCUUAACGGUUCGAUUUUCGGUUUAACCAAUAAGAAAAUAUUUAUAAAAUAGAAAUAGUAACAACUAACAUAAAAAAAAUGAAAUCUUAAUUACCGCAAAAACCUACGCAAUGCAUUUUAGUUUACAGGAAUCUUCAAACUUGAACUGAAUGUUAGUUAGGAAAAAAAUUGAAGCCUAACUGUUGGAAGCUAUAAAUGUUUCAAGUUUUUAUUACGAUAAUAGCCGAACUUUAUAUUAUGCAUUUGUUGCCCAAAAUAGGUUAAUAUUUUGUGAAUCACUGAAUUAUGAAUUUGUAGUACAUAUAAUCUAUAUACAUACACAUAUUUAUCUCUCUCUAUAUAUAGAGAGAUAGAUUUAAAUAUAUAAAUAAAUAGGGAUAAAACAAUAACUUAGUGUAUUCUUAUUGGUUUAUCGGUUUAACCGAUAACCCAAUAAGCUAAAACCGAUACCGAACGGUUUACCCAAUAAUUUUUUUUAUAAAACCAAUAAAAAUUUGUUAAUCCGAUAACCUAAUACCAAUAACCCAAUAAUAUUUUUAUCUGUUUGGUGUAUCGGUCGGUUCGGUUUUUCUACAGCCCUACUUGCAGGAAAUAAUCAACAUAUUAGGUAAAGUUAGAUAAUUAAAUUUUUUAAGGAUACAUAUUCUAUAGACUCGAAUGUUUUUAUAGAAUAUUUUUCUUUGUGUUUCUAAUUUAUUUGAUUCUCCUACUUAUAAUUUUGAACACAUGAUACGGAAGAUUUUUUUUUUUUUUUUUUUUGAAGAAUUAAAGAUUCAAAUGUAAUAUAUCAAGCCAUCUUAAUGAUUUUUGAAUUAAAUAAUAAUAAUAAUAAUAAUAAUAAUCAAUUACAUAAUUCAAAGCUAAGUUAUUUGAACAUUAAAAUUUUACUUGGCAUUAUCAAAAUAAAAAUACAAAUCAAAGUAGAAGGUAAAGAUAAGAAAUUUGAUUUACUAAAAAGGCAAACACCUAAAUUACAUAGCCAAGAACGCACAAUCGAUUAAUAUUACUCCAUCGAAUCAGCGAUCCGCGAAAACCAAAAGUAUCGAAUCACAGAUGACCACGUGGAUAGAAACUAUAUGCAAUAGCCAAUAUUAACCGUCCAUUCUCUACUUCAUCAACGGUUCAUAUUCACGAGCCGCGUUAGCCGAAAUUAACCAAUCAAACAACAGAAUCAAAACUCUAUAUAAUCCUCCCUUCCCCCAAUUCCAUUUCUCAUCACUCACGCAUUCUCUUCAUUUAAAUUCCAAUUCAUCUUUCUGUAAAGUCUCUCAACAAUGGCACCAAAGGCAGCAGGGAAAAAGCCAGCUGAGAAGAAGCCAGUAGAGGAGAAGAAGGCCGGGGGAGUGCCUGCUGAGAAGAAGCCCAAGGCCGGGAAGAAGCUCCCGAAGGAUGCCAGCGGCGCUGACAAGAAGAAGAAGAAGGCAAAGAAGAGCAUUGAAACCUACAAGAUCUACAUCUUCAAGGUGCUGAAGCAGGUGCAUCCAGAUAUCGGUAUCUCCAGCAAAUCAAUGGGUAUAAUGAACAGUUUCAUUAAUGAUAUAUUUGAGAAGCUUGCUCAGGAAGCUUCUAGAUUGGCUAGGAUCAACAAGAAGCCUACUAUCACUUCUAGGGAAAUUCAGACUGCUGUUAGGCUUGUGUUGCCUGGUGAAUUGGCUAAGCACGCUGUUUCUGAAGGGACCAAGGCUGUUACGAAGUUCACUAGCUCUUAGGCUUUAAAUUGGGGAUCUUUGGGGUUUUGGGUCUAUGUAAAGGUUCCUAGUUUUGGAAGUUUGAUAUGUAAUUGUCUUACUAUGAUUACUGCAAAUGAAUCAAGGCUUAUUAUCUAGUGAAAUUCUGUGUUACUUAUUAUUUUGUUUAUCGUAUUGUGGCGAUAAUAUUGGCGUUCUAUGUUUUGUCAACCGAAAUUCUUAAACAGAGCAUGAUUUGGUGUAUUGUCACUGUGAAUUGCAACGAAUAAUUGUGAUUUACCAUAAGCAUGACACCGUUCUGAUUAAGUUAUAAUCAUACUUUUGAGUUAUACCAACGAUUUCAAACUGUUCUAUAAAUUUUUUGAGUCUUGGUGUGGAGUUUAAAUACAUUUAACUGUUAUUUCUGUGGAAGAAAAUAUCCAAUAUUAUUGCCUUGUCAAAAUGCAAAUCAUUUCAAAAUGAUAUAAUUGUUUUCUGUUCUUUAAAUUAUUCUUGUUUUUUUUUUUUUUUUUUUGGGUUCUUUUCUAUCUUCUCUGUUUGCCUAAAUUUUGUUAUCUAAUAUUUGAUAACAAAAUUGAAGAGGACAUUUCAAUUUUGAAGAGGAAGUGGUUAAUUAUUGAAGAGGAUGCGUUUAAUCUGGUAAGUAGUUAAUUAUCCUUUUCAAUUCUCUUAUUAGGACAUUUCUUUAAGCAAGGAUUAUUCAUGUAUUAUUUGUUUGGUUUGGUGGAAUUGUGUUAAGUUAGAUGAAAUUAUUUUUAAGCUUUUAAUGUUUACUAAAAUGGAUUUGUAUUCUUAAUUUAUGAACUUACUUUUUAUAAUCACUUGCUUACUAUACACUUAUUCUCGUGCUAAUCAAUAAAACUUUUUAAAAUGAUAAGAAUGAUAUCAUCACAUAGGUGCAAUGGAUUAAGAAUUUUAAGUGGAUAAUGCAAGUUUAAAUUGAAAAUAAUGAGCAUAUCCGAUUUAUAUUUAAUGGCAAAUCUUUUUUUUUUGGCUUAAAAGUAUUUAAUAUCAAAUCGAAUGAAAUUUAUGUAAAAUCAUUUUUGAAUGAAUUUAAAGAAUAUCUUAAUUUUCUGGUUCAUAAAGGUUGAAGUCGCAUCUAAUUUUUUGAUAUAGCAAACAUAUGUGAAUUCAUCUACUUUUUCAAGAGAAAUGCAUCAUCAAAAUCAAUAAAAAGAUCAAUAUGGACCAUGAUUCAAAUGGGAUUGCGCUUGUCAAGCUAAGCAAGCGCUAAGCUUUUGCUAGUGGCCGGAAUGACAAUGUGAAGACUCUUUAAUGCCCAAGUUUUGAUGUAGACAACAUUCAAUUUUGUACAAGUCUAAUUAUGAUAACUUUCAUGUCUUUCACAACAAAGGAAAGAGAGUCGGCUAACAUAAUUUUUGCAUAUAUCUAAUUAUGAUAAUGCACAUGUCCUUCACAACAAAGAAAAGAGUGGCGGCUAUUAUGCCUUUAUUUAACAUGGAAUGAAUUCAUCAAGUCAGAAAUUUAUACUUAGCUAAGGAGAACAUGAAGCAUCUAUUGAAGGACGAGCAAAGAAAAUUUUCACCACCUAUUGCAUAAUACUGAAACAAUCAUAUCUAGUUGUUUGAGUCUAAUGAAUGAAGUUUAGAAUUUGAAUUUGGAGUUGUAAUUUUAAACCUUAUUUGAGCUAGUUAAUUUGAGUUUUGAUUGUUACUCUUUAGGAUGGGUCUUUCAUAUAAAUAAAUUAUUCAAUUUCUUUAUAAUUUAGGUGAAAUCUGGUUGGAACAAGUUUUUCCACAAAGCCAUGUUGUUCACUUGAAAUUCUAAACCAAGAAGACUCAAAUAAAUCAUAUCUUCUUCAUUUUCGUUUGUUUUCUCCCUCCUUUCGCUGGAGUUGUCGGUGACUUAAAAAAGUUAAAUUGGAUGGAGAAAAAAUAUUUUCUUAGUAGUAUUUUUUAUGUUUAUUUUUAUUGAUUCAUAACAGAUGUUGUACACCCUUAAUAAAUACUCCUCCCAUAUUAUUUUACUUUAUCUCAAAUUUUUUAAUUUGAUUUCUCGUUUUACUUGUCAUUUUUUAUAAAUUAAUAAGAGACAAAUUUUUCCCCAUAUUUUAUCCUUUAUAUUAAUUACUUUUUCUUCAAAUUAUAAUGUAAACAUCAUAGUAUAGUAGCCAUAUUAUUAAUUAUUUUUUUAAUUAAUGUACCAAAUUAAUUUGGGACAAGUAAAAUGUGAGGAAAGAAUAAUAAAUAAAAAGCAUAUUUUAUCAUGAAACGCCCAUCAGUGAUUUAUAAUUUGAUGAACUUGAAAAAGAUACUCUUAUGAUAUAAUUAAUGAAGGAUAAAUUAGAAAAGAAAUAAUUUUCUCGAGUCAACAAAUAAAAUUUAGAAUAUACUUCUCUGUUUAUCUUUACUUGUUCAUUUUUUUAUUUUGGGUUGUCUAACAAUAUUUGUUUAACAUAAAAAUAAUAAUAUAUUAUUAUUUUUAACUAUUUAUUUUUAGUACUAAAUACGAUUUAUUUUUAAUUUUUUUAUGAUUCAAUUUUACUUCUAUCAUCUCCUACUUUUUAAUUUUGAUGUCAAUAAAAUAAAUAAAUAAAAAUAAAUGGAGGAAAUAUUUUGGGAAAGGAAAAGGUGAGGGAGGAAGUAUUUUUUCACUUCGUAAACAAUUAAUACAGCCAUUACUGAUCGUCCAUUCCCCCCUUCAUCAACGGUUAACAUUCAUGAUCCACGCUAACCUAAUGUAACCAAUCAAACAACAGAAUCGAAACCCUAUAUAAUUAUCACUUCACCGAUUCCAUGCCUCAUCACUCACGCAUUUUCCUCAUCACAAUUUCCAUUAAUCACUCUGUGAAAUCUCUCAACAAUGGCACCAAAGGCAACUGGGAAAAAGCCAGUACAAGAGAAGAAGGCUGAGGGAGUUCCUAAGAAGCCCAAAGCCGGGAAGAAGCUCCCAAAGGAUGCUGGCAGCGCUGACAAGAAGAAGAAGAAGGCAAAGAAGAGCAUUGAAACCUAUAAGAUCUACAUCUUCAAGGUGCUCAAACAGGUGCAUCCAGAUAUUGGCAUUUCCAGCAAAUCAAUGGGUAUAAUGAACAGUUUCAUUAAUGAUAUAUUUGAGAAGCUUGCUCAGGAAUCAUCUAGAUUAGCUAGGAUCAACAAGAAGCCUACUAUCACUUCUAGGGAAAUUCAGACUGCUGUGAGGCUUGUGUUGCCUGGUGAAUUGGCUAAGCACGCUGUUUCUGAAGGGACCAAAGUUGUCACUAAGUUUACUAGCUCUUAGGCUUUUAGUUUGGGGGAUCUUUUGGGUUUUUGGUCUAUGUAAAAGCUGGAAGGCUUUGGUGUUUAAUAUG
rnacentral:lncRNA from 1 species